AGUAAUGAUUUCGGAUUCGUGUUUAAAGGGAUUUUUGAAGGGAAGGUAAAUUGGUACCAGCAAGGAAUCAAGGAAUCAUCAUUAUGUUUUUGGUUUCGAAAGAAAUUCCCUCAGAUAGCUCUAUGUUGUGCUGGAGAACCUCCUAUGUAUAAAGACAAUAUGCUGUUGGAUUUCAAGUUGAGUGUACUCAUCAAUGGCACUAAGCAAUUCACUUCUUCAUGUAACUACAUAUUUUCUGCAGGAAGCAAAUCAGACCAAAUACUUAUGUGUGAUUUAGUGGGCCUAGCGGAAAGAUCAUUUUUAGAGCAUGAAUGGAAUAAAGUAGAGAUUUUAUAUGAGUUGAAAUAUCCUAUUCCACGUGGACUUGAAAGGAUAAUGGCUAACCAUGACAGGACCACAACAAGAAACCCAAGUUGGUCUCUCAUUUAUGUCAGUGGAGAUAUCAAAGAGGAUGUCAAAUUUCUGUCUGAGUUUAUGGAAUGCAAGGAGGCUGAGAGAAGAAAGGAAACACUAUUGGGUUUUCACCAUAUGCUCAAGCGUUAUGGAUUCAAUUGGACUGGGUUUUGAUCGAAAAGAUCAAAUGUGGUCUAAUUUUAAUUUUCUUAAAAUACCAAGUUACUUUGAAAGAGUUGUUUUUAUCCCCAUCUUUGUCUGAAAACCGAUCCCCCGUUCUAGAGAAGCAAAAAAACCAUUUUUUCCGGGUUCACUCAUUAAGAAGUGGAAAAAAUAGUGUUUCUUGUCCAUCCGGAACAGGACUUCCGGAUGGAAUCAGUUUUCAAACAAAGGUGUGGGGAAAUAAAAACAGCUCACUUAUUUUGAUUCAAGAUGUAAACUCCAUCUAAUUCAAUUGAAAUCAUGUUAAGCUCAACCAAUUUUUUUUUUUUAUUAUUAUUCUUUGACAUAUAACUUAAUCAAAAUAUAAAAAUGUAAUCUAAUCAAACCAAAUUAACUUAAUCUAUAAAAUCUUUCAAAAAAUACCAAUUUAGACGGUAUAAAUUUUUUAGCUUUAUUAUAUUACUACUGUGAUUAUACUAUGAUUCAUUUUAAAGUUUAAGUUACAUCGGCUUUUAUAUUUGUAUUUGAGAAUUGAUUUGAUUGGAUUAUUUCUUUUGUUUUUAUUAUUAUUCAACUCAGCCUUUCUUAUUUUGAUAUGUACCAAAUAAAACAACAAAACUCCUUAUUUUGAUGGUAUUAUGUUGGAUUUAGACACCAAUAGGGAUAUUUUGAGUUUAAACAUCUCAAGUUGAUGUGUUUGUAUUAGAACAAAGAUUUAGCUGUCGAUCGGAAAUAUCAAAAUAUUAUGUCAAAUGAUACAUGAACGAGGUACCACUUACAUUCAUUAAAUAUCAGUGUUGCCACCCAUUUGGAUUCCACAAGGCUCGAGGGAUUAGUCUCCGCAGUUGCGUGCGAGGAGGAUACCUGAUUUACGCCAAAAAAAAUAUAUGAUAAUCAUGGUAAAUAAUAAAAUGGUCUAGAUUUUUCAAUAGGUUCCAUUUUUUUUUGUUUCACAGAUUUUUCAAUAGUCAUCUUUCCAGGAUUGUGAUUGUAUUGUGUGCUAAGUUGUUUUGAGGCUGUUCUGCUUCUGGUUGCUAUGCUACAAGCUUGUAGCAUACCAAAGUAUACCAGCAACUGUGAUGGAAGGUUUUCCACCAUUCACUCAAUCCAUUUGACCGACCAGCAGCAUGGUAGGUAACCCUCCAACAUGAAGGUCAGCUAUAGGCAGGUUGAUCAACAUCCCGACUUCUAGCAACCCUCUGAUAUAUAGGCCUGCUACAUCCAAACCAACCGAUGGGUUGGCUACCGACAACUCUCUAACCAACUACCGAUAGGCCUAUGGCCUAGCGCUUAACAGAUUUGGUGUCAAACAGACUAACAGAAAAUGACCUGACUGCCAAGAGCGAUCUCGUCAACAAAAUGGGUACUGACAGUCAAGGGCCAACCGAGAACCGUGCAAGUCCCGGCAGCCUGAGUCCUGAUAUUGUAAUUAAAUUAUUUUAAAAUAUAUUUAUGGGUGGAAUGGAUAUCCAUCCAUAUAAAUAUUGUAAUUGAUAGAUUAAUAGAUGGUUUCAGUUAAACCAUCAUAAUCCAAUCGAAUUUUUUUGUAAAUCAUCUAUUUCCCUAAUACAAGAAAUCAACCAAACCGAAGUGAAAUAUUCAAAAUUGAAUUGAUCCAGUGUAAAAAAAAAAAAAAAGAAGCAAUAGUUACAGUUCAGAACUCAAGGCAAAUUAGAGAAAGUAAUUUAGUAGUUACUUGAUUGAAGAUAGUCGCUUUGAAAUCAGCUUUCUCAAACACGGAUUGGAGGCUUGGAGCUUGUGAAAAAGAACUCCUAUCAUGUAACUGAUAUACAACAGAUUCAUGGUGCAGUAAAUUCUUGCUUCCUAUUAUAAGAGUGAAAAGGUUCAAUAUGUUGACAACCUCUUGGAAGACUUCGAUGAAAGUUAUUGAAAAAUUGUGCAUUGCUCCACAAUUUUUGCGAUGCACAUUCUAGUCGAAACGAGUUAUUCAAUGCUUGUGAAUGCUUUUUCUCAGCUUAUGUUUUUCACGAUGAUUGGAACUCUUAUCACUUCUGUGAUAUGAAGGCUUUUCUCUGUUCUGUUGGCGCACAUCAAUCUCAGCAUGUUCAGAACCAUCAGGCGUGCCGCGAUGUUUUUCUUUGAUCCUUCUACUUCGACCAUCCUUUUCAACAUCAGAAUCAUCGGAAGAAUAAGAAUGCUCAGCUCUUCUCUUCUGACUUUCAUGUUUUUCUUUGAUCCUGCCUUCUACUUCAACUAUACGUUUCAAAAUCAGAAUCAUCAGAAGAAUAAGAAGACCAAGUUUUAGUUAAGAGUAGAUUAUUUAUCCUUUAGAUUGUACAAUGCAUAUUCAAUCUCUGUGGUUGUGAAUUUUUAAUGAUUUUAAGAACAAUCUUAAGUACUAAGUUAGAAGUUAGGCUCAUCACUAAAUGUUACAGCAAAAACAGAACUUUCCAUCUAUAUAAUUUCUUUCCAUUAUAAAAUAUACAUUUUGAUUAUCCAAAGCUAUACUUCACAUGUUAUUCUUGGUGCUCCCCAAGUAUACCUGUCCGUAAUUGUCGGUUAAUGUCAUCAAAUUGGUCUUAAGUAGACGAAACUGAUUGCAUUGCUCAACAUAUAUGUGUCAAUCUGAUGUAACCUAUAAUGGUGUGGUCUAACGUGAUCGUGCUAAACUUUUGUAGACUAGAAUGCAUGUUCACUCUGCUUAAUAUAUUGACAGCUUCAUUCACACUUGUGUUAUAUCAGUCUUUGCUUUUAGUCUCUGUAUAUUUUUGUUUUGCUUUAUACUCUGAAGCAUAAGAAAAUUAGCAUUUAGUCCUUUUUUGGCUUUAAUCUUUCAAAUAUUUGUCUAGUGUACAGGAAUUGAUAUCUAUGUAUGUACCACUUGAUGAAUGGUUCACUUGUUGUUGAUGUUUGUAAAUUAGAAGAUGCUCAGGUUUGCAAAUUAGAAGAAAAAUGUGUCAUCACUUGUGGCAACUUCUGACCCUAUUUUCCUCAAUUCUCUCUUCUUCUUUUUUAACCCCUUUUGUUAUGCCUUGUCUUCAAAGUGUCUGGAGACACGUUAGCGCUCCAAUGCUCAAAUUAGUGUAGGAAAUGAGAUGGAAUCUAUGAAAAGUGCGGGAAAAGUGAAUCAUACCUUGGGGUGAAGCUAAGUCACCCUUAAAUAGGCGUGUAUGAGAAUAACCGUCUCUGUGAAGUGCGGCGCUUCAUCAGGAGGCCGUUGGGAGAUGUGUAGGGUGUCUGAUGCACGGAGACGUGCUUAGGUAGGGUGGCGUGCACCAAAGUUAGGGUGUUUGUCCAAGUGACACGUGUUGCUCCGGCGUGUUACUUGUCCACGUGUCAACGUUGGAUUGGAUUUAAAGCGGGUCUAGAACAAUAUAUAAAGAGAGAUAGUUAGGAUCUGUUGACACCAGGUUUCACCAAAUCCCAAGGGUUGUUUCAAUUUAAUUUAAAGGCUUCAAUUUAAAGUUCAAUAUAACAUUAAUUAUUUAUUCUUCCAUAGUACCAUUAACUACUUAUUAAAGGGCGAAAUAACCCUAGAGCGCUUAGACGAUGACACGCGUCUCUUCUAAUUUAACCAAGAUCCUGAAUUCGAAUCUAGCCUUGGGCAUGCAACAACGUUAAAAUUCUUAGGGAGAGUUUGCUGCCCAUUUGAGUCCCACAAGGCUCCAUUCUUAAGGAGAGUUUGCCGCCCAUUUAGGUCCCAUAAGGCUCAAGAGAUUAGUAUGUGCAAAGGAGAAAUAGACUGAAUAGGAUAGUAAAUGAUCAAAUGUAAUAUACGUAAAAUAUAAAUAACAGUAAAAAGGAAGUAUAAUAAUUUAACAAAGUAAAGUGUUAACUGAUGAGUAAACCACUAAAUUGAUCCAUGUAUUUUUAAGUCACUAUCAAAUUAGUCCCCAACUCUAUUAAUAUUUCAAAAUAGUCAUUGUCUUUGUCAAAAAUUUCUCAAUUAAGUCUCUCGUCAUGUGACAAAAACAAAGAGAAAAUGAUCUAAUUGAAAAGAUUUUGACAAUAUUUCAAAAUAGUCAAUAUCUUUGUCAAAAGUUUUUCAACCAAGUCUCUCGUCAAGUGACAAAAACAAAGAGAAAACGAUCUAAUUGAAAAACUUUUCAGCAAUUUCGAAAUAUUAAUAGAGUCGGUAUUUGUGUAUUUUCAUCAUGCAUGUAUUUAAGGCAAGCAUCUCACAUUUCUACCAUUUCCUCCAAAAUCAGAAACAAACAUUUCCUUCUACCAAUUCCAUCCAAAUUCUUCCUUUCCUCUUUAGCCUUGAAUUGAAUUUUUCAAGUUCAGCAGCAAGUGAGAAUGCAUGCGUGAUUCAUUGGUUCUGUGUGGUUUGGGUUGGUGUUUAGGAACAAGAAUUGAAGUUUGGGUGUAGGAGAAUUGGAGCUUAAGCUGUUAAAGAGACCAGAUUUAUCAAUGUGAGUUCCUUUUAGUUUAGAAUCCACCUUGGAUAGUUGUAUAGCUGUGAUGUCAGAUGAAUGUUUCGGGACUACUCACCCCGGGGAUUCCGUAAAAUCAACCUAGAUAAGUUGUUUGUUCCACACUAACUUUUAUAAAUAAUUGAAUAUGAUGAAAUGCCAGAACAAUUAACCUAGACAGAUUACAGACUGUUAGCGAUCCUAGAUUCUCCCAGAUCACUAUCACCCUAGUGAGACCUUAUGUCUCAUCCCAUUCCCCCAUAUUAUUACUCAAACAUAGUUUAUAUAUCAGUGCAUGAUUAUUCAGACAGCAUUAUGUACUUUGUACUCAUCAGCAAGUACUUAAUUAUGACAUUUUAUUAGACUAUGGAUGUGAGAUAUUUCAUUCAAAUGAAAAUGUAUGUUGUAAUUUAAUGUAUCUAGUACUAAGUUUAUCGCUCGUCUAAGUAUUCUCUUUGGCCAACCAUCGUCACUCGUGUCUGUUCUCCUUUGUCUUCUCUGUCGGCUUUGAAAACCCUCUCUCCUUUGCCGUCUUUGUUUUUGACAUCCGUGACAGUUAUGGACCUCCGAUUGAGAUUUAAGGAGGUCGUUUUCCAGUAGGGUGGCUGGAUCCGCGGCGAAGUUCAAGACAUGGUCCUUGAAACCUUGGUCGAUCAGUCAUUCAAUCCUUCACUAUUGAUUGAGAUGGGGUUGAACAAAAAUGAAAAAAGAUUGUUUUGUUUUAGGUUUGAUGUUGAAAAUCUUGUUCCUAGUUAUGUGCUUCUGUUUUGGGAGGACAGAGGAGACGAGAAGGGAGGCCGGAAUGUAUUGGAAAAGAAGUGGUAGAUCUAGGAAGGGAGGAAAGAUAGUCGCUGGCGGCGUCGCAGGAAAUGGAAGAGUUAUAGGACGUUGUCGUCACUGAAAACGGAAGAGGCAGAAGACGGCGUCAGAAACGAAAUAGGAAGAGGUAGGGAAUGACGUCGUCAUGGAAACAUCGCCCGUAACGGAAGCGUAGUGGGGGCGGCGACGCUGGUUGUUUGGAUAUGUACAAGUCAUAAAAGCCAAGAGAAAAAGAAACUUGCAGAAUUUUUUUUUAUUUUCCCUUUUUUUUUGUGAGCUGGCAUGUAUAUUGAUUAUUUUAGAUUAAUAUGAGCCACAUGUAAGGGUGUAGAAUGCCAAGUCAAUGUGAGUACAUUUCUACACAUAUCACGACUCAUUUAUUUGUCUUUUGAACUUGUGUACAUUUCUGAUUAUAUGGUUACUGUCACUACCCUUAGAGAAGACUUAUCUGCUAAAUGCCAAGUCAAUGCCUCACUCCCUUCUCAGCCUUUUCUACCACCACACACUCAGUUCAUUCAUAUAUCAACUUAUUUUCUUCAACAUAUUAUAGAAACAAACACAAUUAAGAAACAUCAAAAGCAACAUCUUUCAGACACAAAUCAGAUUUCCUCAAUUCUUGCAUCAUAUCAUGACACAACCUUCAUUGUCUGUCUCUUCUAGCUUCACCUAUGAUGUUUUCAUCAGUUUUAGAGGCAUAGAUACCCGCAACAAUUUCACCCGUGACCUCUACGAUAUUCUUUAUCAAAACGGUAUUCACACUUUCUUUGAUGAAGAACAAAUUCAAAAGGGAGAAGAGAUCACACCAGCACUUUUUCAAGCAAUUCAACAAUCUAGGAUUUUCAUUGUUGUUUUCUCUAACAACUAUGCUUCCUCAACUUUUUGUUUGAAUGAACUUGUUGUGAUCCUUGACUGUUCCAACACACAUGGACGCUUGCUUUUGCCUGUUUUUUAUGAUGUCGAUCCAUCACAAGUUCGCCACCAAAGUGGUGCUUAUGGUGAAGCUUUGGGAAAACAUGAGAAGAGGUUUUGUGAUGAUAAGGAUAAGGUGCAAAAAUGGAGAGAUGCUUUAUGUCAAGCUGCUAAUGUUUCUGGCUGGCAUUUCCAACAUGGGUACAGUAUUUUCUAAUCUCAUACCAUACUUUUAUUUAUUUAUUUUAAUUACGGUUCUUUUAAUUGUCUAAUAGUUUUUAUAUAGAUGAUUUUACAAUUCAAAAUAAAUCUCAGAUACAAUUUUAGAUGAAGGGAACAUAGCAAGUAAAUAGGCAUGAUUAUUUGUACUUGAUGUGCACAAAUUAGCCUCAUAAUAUGUUCAGUUUUUCAUAAGUUCACUUGUACUUCACAAAUUGAUUUCUGAGUAAUGCUUGAUAAGGGACUAAUUUGACUGAUAUUUGAGACUUUUAAGAACCAAAUUGAUACUUUUUAUUUCUUUGGAACCAAAUAGGUCUUGGUGUUUUUUCUCAAUGGCCGGUUUAGACCUUUACUUAAUAAAAUGAUGAAUUUGUGAAUUGUGAAACCGGAAAAACAGAUAUGUGAUAAGUUGACACAUUAUGUGACUAACCAAAGUAUCAGAACUUGCAUUGCAACUUCUAAACACCUAUUUGUAUUUUACCUGUAAUUAAUUGACCAAGAUGAAGUACUAAGAAUCGGUUCAGUGCUUCUGUUUCAAAUCAGGUAUACUUUUGUGUUGUGUAGGUCACAAUCAGAAUACAAAUUUAUUGGAAAUAUCGUUGAGGAAGUCACUAAGAAGAUCAAUCGGACUACUUUACAUGUUGCUGAUAACCCAGUUGCAUUAGAGUCUCCAAUGUUAGAAGUAGCAUCUCUUCUAGAUUCUGGACCUGAAAAGGGAACCAACAUGGUUGGAAUUUAUGGUAUCGGUGGUGUAGGUAAAUCAACAUUGGCUCGUGCAGUUUACAACCAUAUUUCUGAUCAAUUUGAUGGUGUGUGCUUUCUUGCUGGCAUAAGAGAAAGUGCAAUUAAUCAUGGUCUUGCACAACUCCAAGAAACGCUACUUUCUGAAAUACUUGGAGAGGAGGAUAUUAGAAUAAGAGAUGUUUAUAGAGGAAUUUCAAUUAUAAAAAGGAGGCUCCAAAGAAAAAAGGUACUUUUGGUUCUUGAUGAUGUUGACAAAGUGAAGCAGAUACAAGUACUUGCAGGAGGGCAUGAUUGGUUUGGCCCCGGCAGCAAGAUUGUAGUCACUACAAGAGACAAACAUUUGUUGGCUAUUCAUGAGAUUCUAAAUUUAUAUGAGGUUAAACAGUUGAAUCAUGAAAAAUCUCUUGAUUUGUUUAACUGGCAUGCCUUUAGAAACAGAAAAAUGGAUCCAUGUUACAGUGAUAUGUCAAACCGUGCAGUUUCUUAUGCUUCUGGCCUUCCAUUGGCUUUGGAAGUAAUAGGUUCUCACUUGUUUGGCAAAAGUUUAGAUGUAUGGAAAUCUUCAUUAGAUAAAUAUGAAAGAGUUCUUCACAAAGAGAUUCAUGAAAUUCUUAAAGUUAGCUAUGAUGAUUUGGAUGAUGAUCAGAAGGGUAUUUUUCUUGACAUCGCUUGUUUCUUCAAUUCUUAUGAAAUGAGCUAUGCCAAAGAAUUGCUAUACCUACAUGGUUUUAGUGCUGAAAAUGGAAUUCAAGUGCUGACCGACAAAUCCCUCAUAAAAAUUGAUGCCAAUGGUUGUGUGAGAAUGCAUGACUUAGUUCAAGACAUGGGCAGAGAAAUCGUGAGGCAGGAAUCAACUGUGGAGCCUGGCAGACGCAGUAGAUUAUGGUAUGAUGACGAUAUAGUUCAUGUUUUGGAAACAAAUAUGGUACGUGCCAACGUCAAAACAUAUAAGAUGUUCUUCUGGUGGAUAACUACUAAAUUUCUAGAUUCUUAUUUAUCCAUUCUCAAUUAUAAGUGUUUAACGAAACUGAUUUUCAUAAGAAAAGGAUGUUAUUAUUUUGAAUUUGUAAUUUCUUGAGAUAUGUUGAUGAUAUUCAUAAACUUUACAUUCUGAUCAAAUAAUGAUUUGGAAUUGAAAGGGCACUGAUACAAUUGAAGUCAUAAUCAUCAACUUGUGCAAUGACAAAGAAGUGCAGUGGAGUGGAAAAGCCUUCACCAAGAUGAAAAACCUGAAAAUUCUUAUAAUUAGAAGUGCACGCUUUUCUAGAGGUCCUCAAAAACUACCAAAUAGUUUGAGAGUUCUAGAUUGGAAUGGAUACCCUUCACAAUCUUUACCAGCAGAUUUCAAUCCUAAGAAUCUUAUGAUACUUAGCCUUCCUGAAAGUUGUCUUGUAUCGUUCAAAUUGCUCAAGGUAUGUAUUUUUUUUUUUUACACAUUAAACUGGUUUAUGCAUAGCAAUGCUGUGUCUUUUAGGUCUAUGAAUGUUAUUUUUAAGAGGUUUGGUUUUGCAAUCUAGAAAGGGUUAGUAGUGCAGCUUGUUGUCUAUCUGCCAUCCGUUCCUAUGUACUCCCUCCGUCCCUAUAUGUAACCCCCCUUUGCUUUUUUCACAUUUCUUAAGAAAAGUUGUUAGUGUAAUUAAUGUGCCUAUUUUAUGUGUUAAUAUUACUAAAUUGUCCUUUGUUUGUAUGUGUAUUAAAUUUGACUUUUUGUAUUUCAAGACAAAUUAGUAGGAUUAAUUAGGGGUAUGUUUAGGAAAAUAAUAAUAAAUGCAUCUAGUAAUUUGAAAAGGAGUUUACAUUUAGGGACAAAAAUAAAAUCAAAUGGGUGCUUACAUAUAGGGACGGAGGGAGUAAUUAUAUAUAUAUAUGGUACAAAAAAAGUUAACAAUUAAACAUUGCACUACUUUGUAGUAACCUUGUUUGAAUGAAAGAGCAUGCCAAUUCGAUACAUUUGUUACUGGUCACUAUAAUGUGAGUAUCCAGUAAAUAUCUCAUAAUUUCAUUAUUUUAAUGUUUUGUAGGUGUUUGAGUCCUUGAGCUUUCUGGAUUUUGAAGGUUGCAAGUUAUUAACUGAGCUGCCUAGCUUAUCUGGACUAGUUAAUUUAGGGGCACUGUGUCUUGACGAUUGCACUAAUUUAAUCAGGAUUCAUAAGUCGAUUGGUUUUCUCAAUAAACUCGUGCUACUGAGUAGUCAAAGAUGCAAACAGCUAGAACUUUUGGUGCCCAACAUCAACCUGCCAUCUCUAGAGACUCUAGAUAUAAGGGGUUGCUCGCGUCUCAAGAGCUUCCCUGAAGUAUUGGGAGUAAUGGAGAAUAUAAGAUAUGUUUAUUUAGACCAAACUUCCAUAGGUAAGUUGCCAUUUUCAAUUAGAAAUCUUGUUGGCCUCCGACAAUUGUUCUUGAGGGAGUGCAUGAGCCUAACUCAGCUACCGGAUAGUAUUCGUAUAUUGCCUAAACUCGAGAUAAUAACGGCUUAUGGUUGUAGAGGAUUUCGAUUGUUUGAGGAUAAAGAAAAGGUGGGUUCAGAAGUGUUUCCAGAAGCCAUGCUUGUUUGUAAAGAAGGAAGCGCGGAAUCGCUUGAUAUGUCCUCUCUUAACAUAUGCCCUGAUAAUGUCAUAGAAGUAUUUAGUACUUCAAUUCUUGAUGGUAAUGUUGUAUUAAUGAGAGAAGGGAUUGCUAAAGGGAGAGGAAAUUGGUAUGAACAUGAAAGCAACGAAUCAUCCUUACGAUUUUGGUUUCAAAAUAAAUUCCCCAGGAUAGCUCUGUGUUGUGCUGUAGAACCUCCUGUGUGUAAAGACAAUAUGUUGUUGGAUUUCAAGUUGAGUGUUCUUAUCAAUGGCACUGAGCAAUUCACUUCUUCAUGCAACUACAUAUUUUCUGCUGAACAAAUAAUUAUUCUGUGUGACUUAGUGUGCAAAGUUGAAAGAUCGUAUUUAGAGCAUGAAUGGAAUCAAGUAGAUAUUUUAUAUGAGUUUAAAUACCUUAUGCCAUGUGGCUCUAAAAGAAUAAUGGCUACCCAUGAGAUGACCACAACAAGAAAUCCAAGUUGGUCCUUCAUUUAUGCCUAUGAAGAAGAUAACAAAGUGGGUAUCAGAUUUCUCUCCCAGUUUGUGGAAUGCGUAGAGCAGCACAGAAGAAAUAUAGCAAAUUAUUGGUUUGGUUCAGUACUUUACAAAAGGUUUGUUUGUGAAUUUAGAAAUGAUUAAUUAAGUAAAUGAUCUUAUAAAUAUUAAGAAUUUUGUUUAGUCUAUAAAAAAAAUUGCAUCUAUUGGUCGCCGUAAAAUUUUCCGUCAGCAUCAUUUUAAUUUUUAAGUAUGUUAAAAGAAAAUAUUACAGAGGUUAAAAGUGCAAUUUUGGUCUUAGGAACUAAAAAUGAAUUUAUGAAUAUUUAUAUAGACAUUUACUUAAUUAAUCCAUUGAAAAAUAACUGGAUUUUGACAUGCUUUAUUUAAUUAAUUUAUUUUUUUGAAAUCAUCUGUUUAAGUAUUGAAAUCUACAAGAAUAUACUAGCUCCGUCCCUAAUUAUAAGACCUUUUUGAGAAUUUUCUUUUAUCCCUUUUUAUAAGACUCCUUUGUUAUUUUCAACUACAUUAAUUAUUUCUUUACAUGCAUGCCCCUAUUAAUUAUACAUUUUUUUCUUCAAUCAGCAAUAAAUAACAUGUUGAAAACAUAUAUCAUCUCUCUCUUAAAAGAUAAAAUUGUAAAAACAAUAUUAAUUACAAACAUAUUUAAUACAAAUAUCCACUAUCUUAAUUCCCGUUAUUUUUUCAAAAGGGACAUAUAAUUAGGGACGAAUGUAGUAUAUAUAUAUAUAAACACACUUUAUGUGGUCACAUUUAUAAACAAAAUACAAAUUUUUAAUUAUUAUAUCUGGUCACUUUUAUAGACCAAAUAUAAUAUGUAAAUAGUGUGUUAUACGUAAUAUAUAAUAUAACUAAUAUUCAAUAACAAAUAUUAUCUCAGAUCUUUCUCUCCAUUGGUCGAAAAAGAGAGAUUUGUCUUUCCCGAACUGAAAUUAAAAUUAUUUAAUUUAAUGGUCGAAAAGAUAGUGGGACCAGCGAUUGGGAUCGAUCUCGGAACCACAUACUCAUGCGUCGGUGUAUGGAAACAUGACCGUGUUGAAAUCAUCGCCAACGACCAAGGUAACAGAACCACACCGUCUUACGUCGCCUUUACCGACUCAGAGCGUCUCAUUGGUGAUGCCGCUAAGAAUCAAGUCACCAGGAACCCUAUCAACACCAUCUUCGAUGCUAAGAGGUUGAUUGGCCGUAGAUUCAACGAUGCCUCUGUUCAGAGUGAUAUGAAGUUGUGGCCAUUUAAGAUUAUUUCUGGCCCGUAUGAAAAGCCUAUGAUUGGUGUUAACUACAAGGGUGAAGAUAAGCAAUUUUCCGCAGAAGAGAUCUCUUCCAUGGUACUCACGAAGAUGCGUGAGGUUGCUGAGGCCUACCUUGGCUCUGCCAUUAAGAAUGCCGUUGUUAGUAUCCCUGCUUAUUUUAAUUUUAAUCACAGACAAGCUACUAAGGAUGCCGGUCUUAUUUCUGGUCUUAAUGUCCUGGGAAUUAUCAAUGAGCCCACUCCUGCAGCCAUUGCUUAUGGUUUUGACACGACCAGCUUUGGAGAGAAGAAUGUCUUGAUCUUUGACCUUUGCGGUGGUACUUUUGAUGUCUGUUUGCUAACUAUUGAAGAGGGUAUCAUUGGGGUUAAAGCUACAACCGGAGACCCCCAUCUUGGAGGUGAGGAUUUUAAUAACAGAAUGGUGAAUCACUUUGUUCAAGAGUUCAAAAGAAAGAACAACAAGGACAUCAGUGGCAACCCAAGAGCUCUUAUGAGGUUGGGGACUGCUUGUGAGAGGGCGAAGAGAGCUCUAUCAUCUACUGCUCAGACCACCAUUGAAAUUGAAUGUCUAUUCGAGGGAAUUGAUUUCUGCUCCUUCAUUACUCGUGCCACAUUUGAAGAGCUCAACAUGGAUCUCUUUAGGAAAUGUAUGGAGCAAGUUGAGAAAUGUUUGAGAAAUGCUAAGAUGGACAAAAGAAGUGUCCAUGAUGUUGUCCUUGUAGGAGGUUCUACCAGAAUUCCAAAGGUUCAACAAUUAUUGCAGGAUUUCUUUAACGGAAAGGAGCUAUGCAAUAGCAUUAAUCCCAACGAGGCUGUUGUGUAUGGUGCUGCAUUUUACGCUGCAAUCUUGAGUGGUGAGUACAAAAGAAGUGUCCAUGAUGUUGUCCUUGUAGGAGGUUCUUCUUUUGUUAAGAUUGUUUUGAUUUUUUUCAUAUUGAUUAAGAUCUGUUUGUUCACUUUGCAUGUUGUUGAUGGCUUCUUAAUUCUUUCUCUUUUCCCUGUUCUUUUUUGUGAAAUGAGUAUUGUUUUUCCUAUAAUCAUGUUAUCAAUGCGAAAUAUCAACCCAACUUUGCUGAUAUCUAAUCUCUGCCGGUGAACCUGGCUCGCCACCUCUCCCAACCGCAUUUUUCUCAUACCCAUUGGUCGAACAUGAGACCUUGUUUAAGAGACCAGUGUCUAGUUAAUGUCAAUUUGUUUAUUCUAAUACAUUAACAAGUGUAUAUUGUGGAAGCUUUGUAUUUUUGUUAAAUUUUUAUGUCUUUUAGGGUGUGAUAGGUAGGUGCAUGCUUAAUGAUGUUGAUGAAUUUGAAAUGGUUUUGUUGAUAACAUUUUGGUUACAAUUUACAAGGAAUUUACGGUUCAUUUAUUUUAAUGCAUUUGAGACGUAUGCAACUUUUUUCGAUAUUUUUUGAAAUAAAUUGAAAUGUCUUUCUGGAUGGACACUUAAACUCUGAUUCGUAAGAAAAUUUAAGCUGUCCCCUGUUCUCACUUGUGUGGUGCUACAAAUUGUUCAUGAAUCUAUUUAUAUGACCUCAAGAAAAUUUGAGUUUUAUUGUAUCAUAUUAUAUAAUAUUUAAAUAUCAUCAUCAAUGUUCAUGAGGGGUAACCUUGGCACAACACAACUGGUAAAGUUGUUGUCAUGUGACUGGAAGGUCACGGGUUCAAGUCCUGGAAAGAACCUCUUGUGUAAAAAUCAGGGUAAGGCUGCGUACAAUACACCAAAUGGUGGAACCCCUUCUCGAACCCUGCGUAUAUGGGAGCUUUAGUGCACCGGGUUGCCCUUUUUUAGCACAUGAAUUCAGAAAUGCGAUUAAUAUCACAGGUUUCAUGAAACAUUUAUUAAGGGUAUGUUAGGAAAAAGUAACGAAUACUUCAUUGAUAUUGCAGAACAGCAUAUAACAUGAGACAAUUUCUUUUUUGUUAAAAUGACUUAUAAUAUGGGACAGAGGAUGUGAAGCUUUAUUCAUUCAAAAUCCAUAAGAAAUUAUUUUCUGUUGCGCAAAUGCAAAAUAUUUUAGUCAUAGGAGAUGGUUAGAAUGCCGUACAAAAAAGGGAGAAUAGAAUGAGAGAGUAGCAAUGAAAUAUUGAUAGUGACACGGGGAUAUAUUUGACAAUGUUAUAGUGCAUCUGUACUAUGGUGAGAUGUCAACUAAAUAGUUUCUGAGUAUGUUUUAAUAUAUUAUAAACGAAUAAAUAUAUUUGGCAAUUUUAUAGUGCAUCUGUACUAUAAAAAGUGUUAAGAAUCAAGUUUGCCUAUUCAUAAUUAGGGUUAGAAUGAUAUCUGGAUAUUUGAAUUACAAACCAAACUGAUUAAAUCUUUUGAACAUGUUCUACAGACUAUUUAUAAAUAGAGGUGUCUGCCAAAUUCAUCAAGAAGAAUGCAAACAAUUUUGAUAUAAACCGAUUGCAACUCUUUCUUCAAAAUAUGAAUAACUUACAUUAUGGCAUUUUCUACUGUUGGAACUCCAGACUAUAUUGCUCCAGAAGUGUUACUGAAAAAGGGUUAUGGCUUGGAGUGCGACUGGUUUGUUGAUAUUCUUUUUCAUUUGCUUGAGCUGCAUCUCUUUAUUUUAUGUUUUGGUAGUUUUCCCAUAUUCGUUGACACUACAGGUUGUGCAUGGAUUUUUAUAUCUUUUGCUUUGACUUGGUUCAAUUACGUUGAAAUUGUGAUAUUCGUUGUAAUCGUCUUAAUAGGUUGAACAACCAAUGCCAGCUGGAUCCGGACCCAUCAGAAAGGUAAAAUUUUAUUUACUUGCAUGAAGAUUAAGAUUUUUCAGGAAAAAAUAGUCAAUCAUCCUGUCUUAGCUAUUCGCUUUUUUGCAUCAUUCUGUUUAGAUUGCAAUAUUCAUUUCCUCUAGAUAUAUAAACAAUUAUAAUAGCUGCAUGAAUGAGUAUGUCUCCAUUGAACUUACGCACAACAUUAAUCAUCGUAUAAAUCAAUAAUCAUUGGCUUUAUGCAUCUUUAGAUUGAUUCAUAAGUAUUUAUUUAUUUUUCUUCACUAUUGAAUUCACCAGUUCUAGUUUUUUACCCUGAUACAAAAUUUCCAGGCUAAAUAUAAGUUGAUUGAUUUUGUAGUACAUACAAUAACUCUUAUGUUUCUUGUAUCCUUUUUGUCUACAGAUGCUUUUUACUCAAGAUCUCAGUUUUGUUGGCUAUACAUAUAGGAAUUUUGCAGCUGUCAAAGGGAAGCGUCAUUCUAUUGGUAAGUACUUUCCGCAUAAAGGAUAAUAUGUUACUAUUUUUUAUUUUAUUUUUAUUAACACAUUUUGAUCUUUUGAUGCCACAUAUUAUGAAUCUAUAAUGCUGUAUUUCAACUUUUUAUCGCCGAUUUCCAUUUUCUUUUUGUACAUGAGAUCAGUUUAAAGUUAUUUGCCACGGAAAAUGCUGAAAUUUAUGAAAGAUAUUGCACAAAAAUGUCACGAAUAUGUCGUGAUAUUUUUAACCUUUAUAACCCUUUGUGUUUUCCAUCAAAGCAGUGACUUAAUAGUUAAUCGUUUUUGUACACUUUCCGUAAACCUUUCUUUUGUUCUAACUAGUUACAAGUUAGGCUCAUCGCUAAAUGUUACAGCAAAAACAGGACUUUCCAUCUAUAUAAUUUCUUUGCAUUAUAAAAUAUAUAUUUUGAUCAUCCAAAGCUAUACUUCACAUAUUAUUCUUGGUGCUCCCCAUGUAUAGCUGUCCGUAAUUGUCGGUUAAUGUCAUCAAAUUGGUCCUUAAGUAGACGAAAUUGAUUGCAUUGCUCGGCAUAUAUGUGUCAAUCUGAUGUAACCUAUUGUUAAAAGUUAAGAAUCUUUAGAUAUUUGUUUAACUGUACAACUUCCUAGAUUGAUUGUUAUUACUCCUAGAGUAUUCAACUUCCUAGGCUAGUGCUUACUAAUUAAGCAUUCAAUGCACUUAUUGUAAAACCAUUAUAAAUACAAUAGCGUGAUCUCAUUAUAGACACACAGAGAGUUUACUCAGAUUUUACAUAUUUUACACCUAUAAUGGUGUGGACUAACGUGAUCGUGCUAAACUUUGGUAGACUAGAAUGCAUGUUCAUUCUGCUUAAUAUUAACAUCUUCAUUCACACUUGUGUUAUAUCAGUCUUUGCUUUUAGUCUCUAUAUUUUUGUUUUGUUUUAUACUCUGAAGCAUAAGAAAAUUAGCAUUUAGUCCUUUUUUGGCUUUAAUCUUUCAAAUAUUUGUCUAUGUUGGAAUUCGUCCUUAUAUACUCCAUAUAAUUAGGUGCUAAGAUCAAUAAGGUCUACAUAAUACAAGACUUUAACCAACAUGAACUAGAAUUAAAAUAACAAGGACCAAAAACAAAAUUGUGUAUGUAUCAGGGACUAGAACACUAUGGCGUCAUUUGAUCCAUGUAGCCGACCCCACUUAGUGGGAUAAGGCUUGGUUGUUGUUGUUGUUGUAUCAGGGACUAGAAAAACAAAUUACAAAGACUAGAGGUGAAAUUGAAAUAUUUAAGGAUAUCUAUGCGCCUAUCACGAUAUUUAAAUACCUUCUGGAUAUUUCAGUUUAUACAUUUCUUUAUCCUUUAUGGCUAAUGAUACUGUACCACUUUUUUUUGGACUUGAUACAGAAAAGGGAAGCGUGUCACCACGAUCAUCAGUCGACUCUACACACAGUAAUAAAACCUUUUUCAGCUUUGAUAACUACUUCUAUGUCUAUUCAGUUAUGGGACUCAAACCAACCAGUUUUGUUCUAGGUGAUUCUGUAAUAAACUAUUCCACCUGAUACUCAAUGGACAUCACCAAAGCAUAGGUGGUUGCACCCUAUGGUGCUUGUGAAGAGUGACCUAACCUUAUUGUAAUGUACAUUAUGACCUUCUCGUGUUGCAAAUAGAUGGAGAUUCACCUUCUUCGAUGAUGGUGUCUUUUCGCCUUAGUUUCAGUGCUAACGGACAUCUAUCAUGCAGAACCUAGUGUACAGGGAUUGAUAUCUAUGUAUGUACCACUUGAUGAAUGGUUCACUUGUUGUUGAUGUUUGUAAAUUAGAAGAUGCCCAGGUUGGCAAAUUAGAAGAAAAAUGUGUCAUCACUUGUGGCAACUUCUGACCCUUUUUUCCUCAAUUCUCUCUCUUUUUUUUAACCCCUUUUGUUAUGCCUUGUCUUCAAGCUCCGAUUGUUUUUAACCCCUUUUGUUAUGCCUUGUCUCCAAGCUCCUAUUGUACUUCCAUCAUAAUAGCAAAUAACUUUUUACUGCUAUCAAUUUAGAUGAAGUUCAAGUUGUUGUGACUUGUGACAUUUGUAAUGUUGACAUAAUGAAAAAAAUGAUAUCAAAUAUCAAUGGAAACUUUGUUAUGAUUCUGAUAUGUCAUUCAUUAGAUGCAUGAAAUUAUUUUUACUAGAGGUAAACCUGUUCAUUGUGCAUGUGCUUAUUAUGUAGUUUUUAUAUUCCAGGGCCACUUGGAUGAACAAAUUUGGUUAGGUGUGAAGGUUGUUUUGAUAAAUCAUUAUAACUAGAUAAAAUGUAAAUAGAAUAGUCGUCAUAAAUUACGAAGAGUAACUAUAUGAAAUUUGUGCUAGAAUAUAUAUGAUAUGUCCGUUGAGAAACGGAUGGAGGCAACCAUGGCGGAAAGUGCUCUGGUACAGUGGCGAUGAGUCUUCAUGGUGGAACGAAAGGUGUCUGCAGACACGUUAGCGCUCCAAUGCUCAAAUCAGUGUAGGAAAUGAGAUGGAAUUUGUGAAAAGUGUGGGAAAAGUGAAUCAUACCUUGGGGUGAAGCUAAGUCACCCUUAAAUAGGCGUGUAUGAGAAUAACCGUCUCUGUGAAGUGCGGCGCUUCAUCAGGAGGCCGUUGGGAGAUGUGUAAGGUGUUUGAUGCACGGAGACGUGCUUAGGUGGAGUGGCGUGCACCAAAGUUAGGGUGUUUGUCCAAGUGACACGCGUUGCUCUGGCGUGUUACUUGUCCACGUGUCAGCGUUGGAUUGGAUUUAUAGCGGGUCCAGAACAAUAUAUAAAGAGAGAUAGUUAGGAUCAGUUGACAACAGGUGUCACCAAAUCCCAAGGGUUGUUUCAAUUUAAUUUAAAGGCUUCAAUUUAUUCAUUUCACAAUGUUACCUGACACUUUCAUCGUUCUUUUUACACUUUCAUCAUUCUUUUUACACUCUCUCCCCUUUUAUUUUGGAAAUCCACCACUGUCAAAAUAAAGGAAUAUAUAAAGAAUGAUGAAUAAUUGAGUGUAAUUGUUGAUUUUAAAGUUCAAUAUAACAUUAAUUAUUUAUUUUUCCAUAGUACCAUUAACUACUUAUUAAAGGGAGAAAUAACCCUAGAGCGCUUAGACGAGAUGACACGCGUCUCUUCAAAUUUAACCAAGGUCCUGAGUUCGAAUCCAACCUUGGGCAUGCAACAACGUUAAAAUUCUUAGGGAGAGUUUGCUGCCCAUUUGAGUCCCACAGGGCUCCAUUCUUGAGGAGAGUUUGCCGCCAAUUUAGGUCCAUAAGGCUCAAGAGAUUAGUAUCUGCAAGGGAGAAAUAGACUGAAUAGGAUAGUAAAUGAUCAAAUGUAAUAUAGGUAAAAUAUAAAUAACAGUAAAAAGGAAGUAUAAUAAUUUAACAAAGUAAAGUGUUAACUAAUGAGUAAACCACUAAAUUGAUCCAUGUAUUUUUAAGUCACUCUCAAAUUAGUCUCCAAUUCUAUUAAUAUUUCAAAAUAGUCUUUGAUCACAAGCUGUUUUAUUUUUCUCGUCCUGCGACAAAUCGGCCACCAAGUUUGCAAAAUCGGCCACCGAUUUUUCACGAGACAAAAGUAUCCAAAACCAGGUCAAAAUCGGCAACUGUGGUACAAAUCGGCCACCGAUUUUGACAGACAUAAUGCACAUUUUUGAGUCACUUUUUAACAUAUACCAUUGAUCAUAACUUCAUAAGAUAGGAGUAUGUGCCAAUUGCAAUUGGCAAACAAUUUAUUUACUAUUUUAGUCAAACGAAUUUUCACUUUUGAGGAAUCAACAUUGAAUUAUGAAAUGUUGAAAUGAUAUAAAACAUUGAAUUAUGAUCCAUGUGUGCUGUUUUGAUAAACAUGUUGCCUUUAGUUAAUUAAACUUGUCCAAUAAAGCAUAGACUCUUGAACAUGGAUCCUAGCUUAGAGCUAAUUGGUUCACAUUUCAAAGAUUCAUGCUUGUGUUCUUCUUGCACAACGUCAAAUGAAAUGUUUCAUAGUCUUUCCAUUCAUUUCUCUUAAUCUUAUCAUUUUUUGUGGAUAUUUUUUUAGAGGCACCACUCUCUUGAUUCGCCCAAGGCAUCCAAAUUUAAAGGGUCGGCCCUGUACUUACCUUUUCCUAUUUAUCUCUUAAAGUCUAUUUUUUUUAAUGAUGGUUCACUAAUAGGGGAUUUUAGAUUCAUGGCACAAUUCAUUACUGGACUUGGCUUCAAAUGACCACUUUAAGAGCAUGAGUGACUCUAAUAUGUAAACAUUGUGUUACAUAAUAUCCUAAAUGUUUUAUAUGAUAAGUCUUUGUCCAUAUUUGAUCCAACAAGAAAAUAUAAGUUCACUAAUGUGCAACUAAAUAGUAAUUAUAGUAGUCUUUUGUGAUCGUGUUCUAUUUCAUGUUAGUGUUGUCAAAGGAAAAAUAUCAUUUUCUUAUAGUAGUUUUAUACUAUCUUCCAAGAAAGAACUUGGUUAAUGCCAUCAUAGGUUGAUGUUAAUUUAACAUUUGGAAAUCCACUUGACCACCAUUUGUAUCAGUUUCUGUUGCAAUUUGACUCAAAAAUUGAAGUUUGGAAAAAGUGAAGAAUCGUGACACGAUUCUUAUGGCGUGUCACAAUUUCUGAGGCAGAAUGUAAGGUUGAUCCUAGAGGCAAAUCGUGACACGAUUUAGGGGUUUUUUGAAGUAAUUCACGAAGAAAUCAUGCAAAUCGGUAAAUUAAGAACAUCUGAAGAAAUGUCAAGAUUUUGGGAAUACCAAGAAUGAAGGUUCAAGAGGCCUAUGAGACUUUACAUAGGGAGGAAUUUUGUUCCCAAGUUUUGAGGCAAGUCAUUUGAAGAAAAAGACCUAAAAACGACAAAAAUCAGAGAAAUUGGGCCCAAGAAGGAGCAACCAUGCGCCUAGGGCAUGAUAAUUGUGCAAUAUGCGCCUAGGGCAUAUAGAAUGUGCCUAGGGCAUCUUAAAAAAUGCACUGAAUACGCCUAGGGCAUGCUAUAUGCUUGCCGAUCAUCUUAAAUGUGAGGGGAGCAAGCGUAAUUUUAUUUUUUUUAGUGGGUUUAGCCCGCGUUCUUUGCCCAAACCUAGUUAGAAAUCUCCACUAUAAAUACUAGUCUUCCUCAUUCAGAACUGUGGCAGUUCAAGAGGAAUGCAACUUUAGAGCUUCGGGAGAUAAUCUAUAUUUUCCUUUAUUUUCUAGGGUAUGUUUUUAUCUUUAGUAAUUUGUUUUUAGUUACCAUGUGUAACUAAAUCUUUUUAGGUUAGAAUUCUAAGAUGAACCUCUGUCUCUGUUUAUUUUUGUUGGAUAUUUAUUUAAUAUUAUAUGUCGUUUAUUAUAUUUAUUUUUUUGUUCGCUAUUAAUUUCCUGAUUCAGUUAUUUAUUUCAAAGGAGUGUAACCCUAGAUUAGGUACUUAGGUUAUGACAGGGCCUAACGUUGUUAUUACUAUCUUUAUAGCAUUAUGCUAGUAACUAUAUGUCUAGGAAGUAAGUGAUUAUUAACUAGCAAAAAAUGCCGAAAGAAAGUUGACCGUAAUAGUAACUACUUAGGAGGUGACAUUACUAAGACUGAGUAGUAACGUUGCUUAACCUAGGAUGUAACUGGUUAGUAAAUAGGGAAACAAGCGUCUUCGGGGAAUAAGACUUUAUCGAAUCACUCUCUUGAAACCCUUAGUAAGGUAGACGUAGAUUAGGGCUGCCCGUUUGUAGAACUACUAUGAGCGUAGAGAGAGAGUGUGGUAUGAUUGUCUUAAGAUUCAUAGAUGGGCUGACCUAAGGGAACCUUGGCCUUCAUUGCCUUGGGAAACACUAGAACGCCAAUUUAAGUUUAUGUUUCCAUUACCUUUGAAUUAGCAAGACGCCGCACCUAAGGAUCACCAUGUGAUCAGCAGAUGCAGUUAGUCAUCGGAGGGAUAGACCAAUUAGGUUAGUAAUGUCUCAACGACCUCAUCACUUGUAUAGUCUACCUAAGAUAAAUAAUUGCGACAUUGUUGUUACUUAAUAUCCAACAAUAUAAACAGGGGGAAUUCGAAAAAUUCUAACCGCUGUUUAUUUUUCUGCAACCAAAACAGGUAAACUUGCUCUGUUGCAAACAGAUAAAAAUUGCAACCUUUCUAACCCUUUUAUCUUUUACAUCGUCAACUUACAAAAAUAAGUAACGUGAGUUUUUUUUGACGAAACGACAAUCUCUGUUGAUAUGAUUCUCUACUUUUCUCUUUAUUACUUGGUAAACGAUUUGCUACAUUUGCCAUAUCCGACCAUCACAGGGUAUGCAAACAUAGAUGCAUUAUUAUGCAAACUUGCCAUCAUGGAAGUUGGAAUACCAAAAGGUUGUUCCCUAGAUAGAUUAUGCAUGGUUAUGAACCUAUCAUCAAGUCUAGCCCUAACUUGAGGAGAAACAAGAAGGCUAGUAGACACAGGUACACCCGCAGUAAUGGAGGCACAAAGGUCCCCAUUUUUAGUUGUGUCACUACAACAACAAUUGUUGAAACGGUUGUAGGAGCAGUUACUCUCAUUUCCGUCAAAAUUUGCAUAGCCAUGGUUGCUCCCACGACCGUUGAUACACUAGCGCCCAUUGUAGGGGAAGAUGUCUGUGUAGAUUGUGCUUGUGAAGAGGACUAUGGUGAUUGUGAUGACGCAGAAGUACCAGUAUUGGUUGGUCUAGCCAUUUCUUUCAUAGUUUUACCACUUCUUAAAUGCAUGCACAAACAAAUGUAUUUUCAGAAGAAAAAAAAGUUCACCAAAACACUUAACAAUUUCUAAAAACGGUUUUCACAAGAACAGUUAGAAAAUAAUUUAAAAGUUAUGGAAGUUAUUUCCAAAAUUUUGCACAAACAGGGUCCUACUGGGCGUGCCAAUUUGUUUACUGAUGUUUUUGGUAAACAAGAAGGGCUGAUUUGGUUAUUACAAGCAGGAUCAAACCAGAAAUCCUAGGAUAUAUUGUGCAAAGUUUUUUCAGAAAGUGAGUGAGUGUUCAUCAGAUCCAUAAGUUGCUUUAUGAACAAGAUGAAUUUGUGUAGUGUCUUUCGAUAGAAAGAGUAACGAAAAUGCAAGUAAAAGACUUUAAAAGUUUAAAACGCAUAAACUUAAAGAAAAGGUAAAUUGCCUUGCAUUAAUGUAAAGGUGGUUCGACAAAUCAGAUUACAUACAUUUUGUAUGACUCUUUUCUUUAGACGCUGGUACUUCGAGUGCUAGAAUUCUAUAAGUGAUUUGUGACCCAUUUUCCAUAUGAAAAACUACUAUUUAUACAUAGUAAAAUAACUGAAAAAGGCUAACUGCUAUGAUCAGCACUUCUUCCAUCGAAAAUUGAUUGUCCCCCACGUCUUCACUAAGGCAACUGCUGCUUUUGAAUUUGAAUUAUUUCUUCUCCGACAGUAAUUGUUUGACUUCGACGAAUUUACGUCUUGACUCGCAUCUUGUCGAACUUAUAAACUUUUAGAAUCUUCCAAACGCUAAGCCCAGACUUUGUCAAAAUCCUCGUGUUGAAGCAACAAAAAAAAAAAUGAUUCCUGAAAAGACAAAAGUCAACAAAUGUUGACUGCAUUAAUUGAGCCUGUUGAAAUUGCAGGCUAACAAGGGGUUGUUCGGAUUAUAUAAUGCGAAAAAAAUCAAGGAACGAGCCUUAUUUUUUUUUUUAAGUUUUCGAAUUAUAAAAUCCGAAUUGGUGAAGAACUCAUUUUUCGCCCUCGAACAAAGAAAAAACUCAGCUCGAAUUUUAAAAUCCAAAAAUCACAUGGGCAUUUUUGAAAAAAUUACAACGCGCGUGAGAAUGAUAUAGGAUGAGAAAUGUAAUAGUCUCAAAAAAAAAAGUUUAGUUGGGUUGGUCGGGUUAAUUAGGGCUCUGACGGGUCCAAAAUAAACACCUGAACUGAACUUACCCAUAACAGCAUGUAACAAAAGUUUAGUAUUUUAGUUUAAUAUUUUAGUAUUUUUGUUUAAUAUUUUAGUCCCUAUUUUUAUUUUUUUAACAAAAGUUUACGUUUCGUGUUUAGAACGACUUCAGUUUUUAUUAAUUUAUCUAUAACUUUAAAUUAAAGAUUAAAUUUAAGGUUAAAUAGUAAUAUUAUUAAAAUAAUGAUAUUUUAUCAUCUUAUCGAUGAUAUGUCAUCAACAAAAGUCAUUUGAAUACAAAACAUGAACUUUUGAAAACAGAAAAUUUAGAGACAAAAAACGUAAGUAAUUUUUUUAAAAAACCAAAAUAGCCAACCGAACUAGCAACAUGGAGAAAUGGAUUUGAAAUCUUGAGAGGAGCGUCUCGGCCAACACCACCACAACAACCCAACUAUGGUUUUAAGGAAAUUUUUAGAGGACUAAAACUGAAGGUUAAUAUAUUUAUAGAGAAUAAAAACAUAUUUAAUAUUAUAUAAGGUCCAUAAGUUCUAGCUUAACUAACAAAAAUACCUAAAUUGAUAGGUCACAUGGUUUGAACAAAAAUAAAAAGAAUAAAAAAAUAUAACAAUAUUUCUAAAUUCCAAUAAGUGUUAGACAUAUCCUAAUAAAAACUUUUGUAUCCAAAGACAAUCAAUAAAUAAAUGGAAGUAUUACUAAUUUUAAAUCUACUCAUAAGAUGAGUAACACUACAUUAAUAAUUAUGCUAGAUCACUCAUCUAAAAAAAUUCUUAUAGACCACUUUCAAAUUCCUCAUUUUUUUUUUCAAUGUUCAAGUUUCAAAAUUCAGCAAAACCUACCAUCUAUAUCAAUACAUUGAUGUGAAUAUUAUAGUACAAAAUAAUUGGCAUUGAAUUAAUCUUUUUUUUUUUUUUAACAAAUCAAAAUGGAAUAAUUUUUUUUUUAUAAGCAAGGAACGUAGACAGACAUCAAGAGGCAUCAUCGACAUCCCAAUUAGGUUGGCACCUCGAGAGACCUCCAUCCUAUGCCGCCACACUCUAAAAAAUUUAUUAAAAAAGGGGAAAAAAUAAUUACCAAAGGAGGGGGACUAGACCAAAACCCUCAAAAAACGAAAAGAGAAGGAGACAGAAAAUAAACAGAAGAAACAAUAAAAAGCAAUCAAAAAACAUAUCAUGAGGAUCUGUAAUUUGGAAGUCCACAUCUAUCCCUAUAGAAAUCAAGCCUUAAAUCAAUAGGAAGAGUGUCUAGCCAAACUACACCAACACUGGAGUGACCCAUAGAAGCCAACUUAUCUACGCAGCUGUAUCCUUCACGAAAAAUGCGGGAAGAAAUAACCUAAACCUGUAAGUGUUGGGCAUAUACAUAAUUUUUUAAAGCAAUCCGAGAAUGUGUUGGGCAUAUACAUAAUUUUUUAAAGCAAUCCGAGAAUUAAAGUUACUGAUACCUCUAAUAUAAAUGAACAUAAAUGACAAGGUUCGGCUUAUAUAAAGAAAAGUUUAAAAGGAAAGUUUACAACUCACCGUCACCACUCUUUUUGAUAUAUAUAUAUAUAUAUAUAUAUAUAUAUAUAUAUAUAUAUAUAUAUAUAUAUAUAGCAUCACUUUUGUUGAAAUUAUAAAUUUUGAAUUCCAAUAGUAAAAGCCUCAAUUUUCUAUUCAAAAUAAAAGCCUUAACUUUAGCAUAUUUUAAAAUAAUAAUACUUAAAUAUUAUUUUGAUCCCUUCGCUUAUUUUAAAUAUUUAACUUGGUCUCUUAUGUUUAAAAUUGGUGAAUUGAGUCAUUUAACUUAUUUAUAAAGUUCAAUUUCGUCCCUUAAAACCGAUCAUUUUGGUCCUUUAACUUAUGUAAGUCAAUAGAACUUGGUACCUUAACUUAUAAAAAUAUACUAAUCACAUCCAUUUAUUUAGGGAUCAAAUUGCAUUAACUUACAAAAACUAAAAGAUCAAGUUGCACUAACUUACGUCCCAAAUUGAUUGUUAUCAAGUUGCACUAACUCAUCAUAAAAAAAUUGUUUUGUUUAAAUUUUAAAUUUUGAUAGUAGUCAUUAAAAAACCUCAAUUAUUUUAUUCAAAAUAAAAGCCAAAAUUUUGAAAAAUUCUAAAAUAAAAAUAUCAACAACAUGGGAAAAUCAUAUAAUUAUAUAAAUAGUAAUAACAACAAAACUUUUAAGAAAAAUUUAAUGAUACCCAAAAUUAAAUUUGAGCAAUAACCAGUGAUUCUCAAAUUCCAAUUUCACUAAUUUUCUACGAAGUUUUUAUUGCAAAAUAUUUGAAGUAUGUCAUGUCUUUUAAUAGCAUAAUCCACGUAAAUUCCUUUUAAUAACAAAAAUUAUUUAAUGCAUUAUAAUUUUAUAAAGAAUUUUUUUUUUUGACAAGCAAGGAGAGUGGACAAACAUCAAGCGGCAUCAUCGACAUCCCAACUAGGUUGGCACCCCGAGACACCUCCAUCCUAUGCCACCACACUCGAAAAAAUUUAUUAAAAAACGGGAAAAAAUAAUUACAAAAAGAGGGAGGACUAGACCAAAACCCUCAAAAGAAACAGUAAAAAGAAAACAGAGAAACACAAACACAAACAAAAGUCCUCCAAGAACAAAUCAAGGGAAUCUGUAGUUCGGAAUAUAAAGAAAAAUGUACACAUGAAAACUCUCUAAUGAUCAUUGCAUCAUAAUGAUUCUCGAGAUAUAACAUUUAAUGAAGUUGUAAAAAAAUCACAAUAAAUUUCUUUUUAAUAAAAGAAAAUUAUGGUGAGGGAAUGUUGACUUUGUAUAAGGUAGGGAAUUUUGAUUGAGCCAUGCUAUAUGGCACGGCACAACUCACCCACAAACACACACGACACAUUGAAAAACAAGUAACUUGCUUGGUAAAAUUAAAUCUAACACUUCAAUUGGCAAGACUCAAUUCACAUAACACUUCAUCUUGCUUUUUUACUGAAAAAAGUUAUUGGUUUUAUUGUUCCUAAUGAUUUGAAUUGUUUGGUCAAACAAAUUCACCAAAAAAAAUAGAAUCAAUUAACGAAACACCACAUUUUUAAAAAUGUCUAAUAAGCAUGUAUUUUGUCAACUCAAUAUGACACAUAAGUGUUUUUCAAUGGUUAAAUCUCAACAAAGACCAAAAAUGAAAGAAUCUGAAUUAAUACAGGUUUAAUAAAAAAAUAUGGUAUGAAAGCAAACAACUUGAAAAAAGUUAAAUUUAAUAUUUUACAAAACAAUUAGACUAAAUAAAAAAAACGCCACAUCAUUUUAAAAUUUCUAAUAAGAAUGCAUGCAUUUUACCAAAUAGAAGAACACAUCAACAUUUGUCUAUUGUUAGAGUCCACAAAAGAUCAAAAGUGAAUGAAUUUGAAAUAAUAUAGAUUGAAUAAAAAAUAAUAUGCAUGAAAGUGAAUGACAUCCAAUUACUAAAAUUUAAGAUAAAAAAAUUAAACAAAUGACAUCCAAAAACUAACAAAACAAUUAUCAUAAUGAUGGGGCUUUCGAAGGAUUCUAUAUUAGGAUGGAUGAUCAUACUAGACCAAUAGCAACCACAUAGGUGAUAUAAACAUCACAUCUUCACACAAAAUCUCAAAGCUAUAUGUAUAUGAGUCAUCUCACUUAUAUAUUGUUCAAAAUAUAUUCUUUCUUCCAAUAUGUAGACCAUUAACUCACACUUGAUACAUUAACAUCUUUUAAUCAAGUGUACGACUAUUUGUGUCUGUAAUUAUGUAACAUAAUCAUAUAAGUUCAACAAGAGUUACAACAUUUUCAAAAAGGUGGAUUGAUAGUAAUUUCUCAGAGCUAGGUUUAUGGUCCUUUUUUUUCUUGAGAAAAGAGAAAGAAAAUUAGAAGAAACAAAAUGAAUAAGAAAAAGAAAUUUAAACAUGGGAGAUAUUAUAAGGGAAAGAAAUAUGUAGUGUGUUUUGUCUAUGAGAUUGUAGGAAAUAGAGUGAGUUGCCAGUAUUUUUAUGGUUUCGAUAAAGGAGUUGGAGAUUUUUGGAUAAUUAUUUUACCAAAAAGUUAGACUUAAUUUAAAAAAAAAAAAAACACAUCAUUUUAAAAUGUUUAACAAACAUGUGUUUUGUCCACUUAGAAUAAACAUCUGCAUUUUCCGUUGUCACAUCCCACUAAAGAUCAAAACGGAAGCAAUUUAAAAUAAUACAGGUUGAAAAGACAAAAUAGCAUGAAAAAGAAUGGUAUCCAAAAAAUAAAAUUAAAGAUAUAAAUUGACAUCACAUCUUCCCCAUGACGACAUUAGUUUUUAAGUCUUGCCACUCAUUUUUCUCAACAUCUAAUCUUGCAUCCAAUAUAUUUUUGAUUAAUAUCUUGAAUCCAAUAUAGAAUGUUAACUCCAAUAUGACAAAUUAACAUCUCUCUAAAGUGUGAGACUAUAUGAAUCUGUGAUCUGUUGACAUAGCUAAAUAAGCUCAUACUGAGACACAACAUAGUAAAAAAAAAUGUGGGUUGGUGGUGGUUUCAUGGAGGAAGAUUUAUUUUAUUUUCUUUUUUUGACGGGAUGGAAGGAGAUUUAUGUUUCUUUCUUACAAGAAAAUAGAAAAAAUAAAGUAGAAAUAGAAAUAAGAUAAAAAAAAGUAUUUUAACAUGAGAUAAACGAUGAGGAAAAAAAGAGAGUGUGUGCUUUAUUCGUGAGUGAAUAUGAAAUAGAGUGAGUUGUUGAUAAUUUUACAGUUUUGUUGAAGGAGUUGGAGAUUUUGGGGUAGUUAUUUUAGCAAAAAAAACUUAUUAGACGAAUGCUAUAUCAUUUUAAAAUUUCUAAUAAACAUGUAUUUUUUCCACUCAGUCGAACAUAUCCACACUUUUCCAUUGUCAGACUCCACCAAAAACCAAACGUGAAGAAAUAUGAAAUAAUGGAAGUUGAAUAAAAAAAUAUAACAUGAAAGUGAUGACAUCCAAAAACUAAAAUUUAAUAUAAGAAAAAAUAAAUGACACUAAAAAACUAACAAAAAGUUCGUCAUAAUUUUGAGACUCUCAGGGGGCUUCUACAAUGAGUUUGAUCAUCGCAUUAGCCUAUAAACCAUGCAAGUGAGGUUCAUAGAUCUUAACCAAAAACCUUAAAACAUCAGAUAUAUGGGUCAUCUUAUUUAUAUGUUGUUUAAAUUAUACUCUUCCAUCAUAUAUAGAAUUUAACCCACAUUUCACACAUUAACAUCUCUUAAUCAAGUAUACAACUCUUUGCGUCUAUAACUAUGUGACAUAGUCAAAGAAAAGGUUAAACAUAAGCACAUGUUCAUAAAGGUUGGUUGGUGGUGAUUUUCUGAAGGAAGAUUUAUGUUCAUUUCUUUCAUGAGAAGAGAUAAAGGAAUUUAGAAUGAAAAAAUGAAUUUGAACAUGAGAGAAAAUAAGAGUAAAAAAUAAUUAUUGUGUAUUUUCUGUGAGAGCAUACAAAAUAGUGUGAAUUUUAUGUAAUUUUAUGGGUUUGUUGAUGGAGUUGGAGGUUUUAUAGUGAUUAUUUUAAAACAAAAAAAAAAAAUUAAACUCGGUUAAAAAAGCAUCACAUAAUUUUAAAUGUCUAUCAAGUAUGUAAUUUGUCAACUCUUGCAUCGGAUGCGGAACUUUCACCCACACUUGACCAUUUAACAUCUCUACAUUAAGUAUAACACUCUCCGCACUGUGAUCUACCACCAGGAAACACUCUCACUUGCCCACAAAGUUGAAUCUAAAUAUGAUACUACCGUUGGACUUUUUGAGGGAUCAGACACUUUUGUGGAUAAACCCAUUGGAGAGAGCAAUCACACAAGUGAGGGCAUUAAGUGUGAGGGUUUCUCACUUAUAUGUUGUUAAAUUUCACCACUUCUAUUCAACGUUGGAUUGUAACCGACAUUUGAUACAUCACAACAUUCUCUCUUUUAAGUAUGGGGAAAUUAAGAAAACAUGCUUUAGCAUCCACGCCUACAGGUGUUCACGGGAUGGGUCAGUUUUCAUUGUAAUAUAUAUUACCCGAUGCAAUCAAGUAUCAUUAGGUUGGAUCAAUAAAUAAUUACACGUAACUUUUUAAAGGGGUUAAUUAUAUGGAAAACAUUGUCGGCUUAUGUUAGAUUGAAGGGGUGAAUUGUAUUGAAUGUUGCAGCCAGCGGUAUAACGGCUCUUCUAUUAUCAUGUGGAAGAACCGCACACUUGAUGUUGACAGUCCCUAUCGAGAUUAAUGAGGCAUCAUCGCUUACGAUGAAAAAGGAUAGUCGUAGGGCAGACCUGGUGCGUGCUGCAAAGUUGAUAAUUUGGAAUGAGGCUCUAAUGAUGCACCAAUGGUGUUUUGAGGCAGUUGACUCAUCAAUGCAUAUAUUGCUUGUUGUCCGAAAAGGAACGAGGCAGGAUAUUGUUGAUGCCUCAAUCAAUUCAUCAAAGAUAUGAGCUUAUUGUAAUGUGUUAAGGCUUAUUGUUAAUAUGAGAUUGGGUGCAUCUUCGAUACCUGUAGAGCAGGAAGAAAUUGCUAAUUUUUGCAAGUGGAUACUCUCAAUUGGAGACGGCAACGACGCUUCAGAUGAGAAUGGUAAAAUGAAGGUAGAAAUUCCUGAAUAUUCGCUCAUAUUGGACACAACAAAUCCGUUGAUGUCACUUAUAGACUUUGUGUAUCCCGAUUUGAAUGAUAACCUUGGUGACCCGCUAUUUUUCCAAGAAAGGGGAAUACUCGCUCCAACGCUUGAUUCAAUUGAGCAUGUUAACGAAUAUAUGAUGUCACUGAUUCCAGGUGAAGAGAAAGAGUAUUUAAGCUAUGAUUUUGUUUGUCGAUCGGGUGAAAAUUUUGAUGUCCAAAGUGAGUGGUUCACAACGGAAUUUCUUAAUGGUAUUAAGAGCUCUGGAAUUCCAAAUCACCGGUUGAAACUAAGGGUGGGAUGUCCAGUUAUGCUGAUGAGAAACAUCGAUCAGGUCAAUGGACUGUGUAAUGGUACGAGGCUAACAGUUACACAUCUAGGGAAGACCACGAUUGCUGCUAACGUAAUUACAUGAAAAAGGGAAAGUACCAGGGUGUUCAUUCCUUGGAUGAAUCUUAUUCUGAGUGAUCCAGGACUACCCUUCAAAUUCAGGCGCAUGCAAUUUCCAUUGACGUUUUGUUUUGCAAUGACGAUAAAUAAAAGUCAGGGUCAAUCUUUAUCUCGAGUGGGAGUUUAUCUUCCUAAGCCCGUGUUCACGCAUGGACAACUCUAUGUCAUUGUCUCUCGAGUUACUUCUAGAAAAGGUUUGAAGCUGCUCAUCUUGGAUGAAUAUAAUAAUGUUUGCAAGGAGACCACAUAUGUUGUGUGUCGUGAAGUUUUUCAAAAAGUAUGAUCAUUGGUUAUGUUUUAGAAUUGUUGUUGCUAUAAUUUAGAAAACUAAAGUUGUGCAUUGUUUGGAAGUCAUUUUUUUAAUUUCUUUGUAAGGCGUACUGGUCAUUACAGGACAUGCAAUUUCUAUAUAAGCAGAUCCUCCUGCCAUUGACUUUUAAAUGAUGCACUUUUCAGGUAUAACAAUACGCGAAACUAUUUUUUUUUUACAUCGUUGUUAACCUAAAAUACAAUAUUUGCAUUAGACCAUUGAUUUUGUAAUAAAACAAAUAACAAUCGGCGUUUCAGUAGCCCAAACUUAUACACACCCGUAAAAAAUUUAACGUUUGCAUUCACAAAUUAGGUGUAUACAUCUUGUGCUCGUGAUUUUCGGAUAUCAAACCAUUAAUUGAUUUAAAUCGUCAAUCUUUGAACUCUCGAUUUUUAUUCGUGGGAAGGGAAAAAAUGAGUAAAAACCCUUAUCGAGACUUUGGAUUCGGGGGUUGGUUACAUGAAGGGAAGGUGCUAGCACCCUAAGCGUCUACGGUAUUCCGUAGGAACCUCUUACCUAAUUUACCUUGUGCUAAAUUGAUUUGCUUAUUUGAAAAUUAUUACCUAAAAGUCUAAGUGAAAGAAUGGAGGGAGAAGAAGUAUGUUUUUGGUUAUUUUUAUUUGAAUUGGAAGGAUAAAAAUCCUAUGCCUACAUACCCUUAAAGAAAAGGGAUCAAAACCAAUGUAGUUCACCUAAAAAGUUUCUUUUUGGUGGGUUAGGUUGAUUUUAAGAUUUUUUUGAAAAUGAGUUUUUAGAAGAGAAAGAGGCCUCAAGGCAUGAGAUAAAAUAAGGUGAGGUUGGUCAAAUUUUAAUUACAAAGAAAUCAAGUCUAUUAUGAAUAUUAAUUCAAUUAAGCAUUUGAUUAAGAAAAUAAAAAGGAAAACACUUGGGUUACAAACCAAGGUUUAUUAAGAAAAUACUUUUGGAGUUUUGCAUAUUUGAUUUUUUUUGAAAAAAAUAUAUUUUUUAAACUAACAGUAAAACUAGCAUAACGGCAUAACGUCACAAGAAGUAAACGUGAAGUGUCGGUGCAUGUGUCGGUGCGUUGUGUUAUUACAUAUCAAUUCCUAGAUACAUUCUAUGGUCUCAAGAGAAAUAUAAUAGAAGAAAUAAAACGCGCAAAAUAAAUUACAUCAAUUUCCUAAUUAUACACGCUAAAUAAUACCAAUAAAAUAAAAUGACAAAGUUAAACAUGCAUGAGAUGAUUCAAAUAUACUAUAUCAAUAAUAUAAUGAAAAUAAAAUAACAAAACAGUAAAUAGACAAUCAACACAAAGCAAAAUAUUUUUGUAAACUUUUGGAGUAAUUUUUUUUGUAAGUGAAGGAGGUGCAGAAAGUAAAAACAAAGGUGUAAAAAGGAAAACAGUAGUGAAAUUUAAAAACAAUUGGGCUCAGACUGGAUAGAUAUGGACCGUCUGAUGAAUCCGAAGGUCUAGAUCUAAUCACAGGAAGUCUCAUCACAGCCACUGGAUCAGUGAUCCAACGGUUUAAAAAAAAACAGCACAAAAGCAUAGAAAUAACACAGGAGGCACAGUGACCAUCUGAUCAUGGAACUAUCCAGAUCCAACUGCUAGAAACAACAAGGCACAUGGAAUGGGAUAAGAGAAAUAACAUGGGAAAAUAAAAGGAAUAGAGACUAUAAAACGUAAAACAACAGCAUAUUACUCAUUUGGUUUCUUCUCUUCUCUUUCUAAACACAAAUGCUUCCUUCUCUCUACACUCAAAAACAACACCGCCCCCUUAUAUCAUCUUCUCCGGCGAGACAGUGUUUUCCGGCGCGAUGGCCGGUGGUGGCACCACCGCGCCGGAGUUUCAAACUCCUCUAAAUCAAAAAAGUUUUUACGUUUUUAAACAUCCUUUUCUUCAUACUUUUCGAAAAUCUACUUAGUUUUCACAAACAAACAACCAAAACUUCUAGAUCUAAACUUUAAAGAUCGGUUUCAAACUUUUUCCAUCUCUCAACCGUUUUCCAAAAAAAGAAACUCACAUCUCAUACAGAUUUAGGAAGUAAAAUGCAAAGGAGAAGAAAGAACAAAGUGAUACUGGUUACCUCUUUAGAUCGGUUACGAUCUUGGAGGUUAUACUUCUGAGAAAAAUAAAAAAACGUUCUUCCUUGCUCAAAACGGUUCGGAUUUAUUUCGAUUCACGCUCCAUUUUGAUCCGAUUCACGCUCCAAUCUCCUUCUCCAAUUCCGGUUGAAUUAUGGCUUGAAUGUGUUGGAUUUACGGUUCCGUCGAUUUGGUUGUGUUGUUAAUUUGGAAUCUUUUGUAUUUUUUGUGGUGAAAUCAUGAUGCUGGAAUUUUAGUGUUCAUAGUGUUCUUGAGAAACUAGAUGAUUUUUUGUGUCUGAUUUUAGAAAUCGGAGAGAGAAAUGAAAUUAGGGUUGGGGUGUUGACUGCUGCGGCUGAAGAAGUCUCUGUGUAAGUUUGUGCGGCUAGGGUUUGCUCAUCCUCCUUCUCUUUUUUUGCAGGUUUUAAUUUAUACCACUAGGGUUGAAGGGAAAAAGGAAACAACAUACUGGAUUUGGAAACAAAAGUUUGACAAUCUGCCUGAAUAUGAGGCGUGUAAAAAAUAUUUUUUGGACCCCUGCUGAGAUUUUUCUGACUCAUUGACAUUAUAGCACAAAACAAAAAUAAACUAUUAAAUAUAUAAAAAGAGUAACUAAUUUUAAAAUUAAAACUAAUAAAAGAUGGAAAUUAAACACUGAAAUAAAAAGAAAAUAAAGAGGAAAGAGGGCCCGGCUCGGAAUACUUCUCUGCCGAAAUUUCGUCUGAAACGACGAAAAUUCCCGACUUUAAAAAUAUGAAUAAAAUGGGUAAGAAUAGAGAAAAGUGGUCAAAAUUUGGGGUAUGACACAUCUGAAGUUGACUAUUAUAUAAAAAAAAAUACAAUUUUUUUUGUUUUUAUGAUUAAUAAAAUACAUUAUAUCAACAAAUAAUAAUAUACAGUACUUCGGCGUAUUUUUGCAAAAAUAUUACAUAUGUUAAGUUUAACAAUGAGUACAUCUUAUAGUACAAAUAAUUAGUAUAAGUAUAAAUCCAAUACUUUAAUCGUUAUGUGCAAUGUUUAGAUAUUUCAAAAUAUAUACAAAAUUAACAAGAUGAUAUUUUUUUCCAUAUCAAAUUUAAAUUAUAACCACAGUUAUAACUUUAAGAUAACAUAAUAUAAAAUAUAUUAAAAAGUGUUUUAUUUCCGUGUUUGGCACGGGUCACUAUACUAGCAUCAAGUGAAACUUGACCCAUGUAUAAUGUGUUAUCCACUUCUUAUUAUUAUUAUUAUUAUUUUUUUUUAGAAAUGCUAUGGACAAACUCUCAAGCACACUCUUUUGAACACACCCUCAAUCAUUGGUCCACAUCACCCCUUUUUUAAAAUCACUUAACUGGAUACUAGCUUAGCCUAUAAGUAAAACAAGGUUAAUCGUUCUUUACCCCCUGUAAUAUAGGUCAUUUUUUGUUUUCCCCCUUGUAAAAUAAUUUUUUUGAUUUACCCCCCUAUAAUUUUUUUUUAAAAAAAAUAUUAUACAGGAGGUAAAUAAAAAAAAAUAUUUUACAGGGGAAAACAAAAAAUGACCUAUAUUACAGGGGGUAAAACACCAUUAACCCAUAAAACAAGAGAAUUGCUGUUCCCACAUUACAUAAGGCUGUGCCACACGAAUAAAUGACGUUUUUGCUCCUGCGGUAGUUAACUACUGAAGUUUGGAACCGGCUGCAGUUAACUACCGAAGUUUCUUCGGCAGUUAACUGCCGACGAAAAACGAUAAAAAAAAAAAAAAAAAACCUCGGCACUUAAGUGCCGAAGAACUCAUAAUAUUUUUUUUUUCAAGAUUCUCUUAGCAUAAGUGAAAGAUAAAAAGUUUAUUAUUUGGCCCAUGCUUGCUGAAUGCAGACAAAUCUUUAUAUAUAUGAUAUUUUAAUUUCUUUGCUUGUUUUUGAUGAUAGACCCUACUUUCUUUGUCAUUCAUCAUAUACGUGCUAUUUAUUUGGACAUAAAUUAUCUUUAUUUGUUUACGAGUUUUUUUCAUUAAUUAUGGUGUAUGCAGGAAGCUGGAGUUCAUGUAAUAUGUACCUUGAUAAAAAAAAAAAAAAUUUAUGAGUUCUUCGGCACUUAAGUGUCGAGGUUUUUUUUUUUUUUUUUUUUUUCGUUUUUUCGUCGGCAGUUAACUGUCGAAGGAAGGAAUUUCGGUAGUUAACUGCCGCCAGUUCCAAACUUCGGUAGUUAACUACCGCAGGGGCAAAAACGUCAUUUACACGUGUGGCAUAGCCUUAUGUGAUGUGGGAACAACAAUUCUCAUAAAACAAACUGUUCUAAUAAACUUCAUCCUUUCCCAACCCACCGUCAAUGACCUUCUUUGUUCCGAAUUUCCACCUAACCAUUAACACCUCUUGAAUAUCAAUUUUUGAUCAAUUUCAUUCAGUUUUCCUGAGAGGUUGAAAGGUACCACUGAUGUUCUUUUUGAGCGAUGACAAAGUGUUCGAAAUAAUUUAAAUCUUCAAUUACUCGUGAUGCUUGUCAAAUACAGGAAUUCAUGAGAAUAGCACAUAACCUAUUUUAUUUAACUAGGCAAAACAUUUAACCAUCGACUCUAUGACAUAACCAUAAAUUGAAUAGUGUCUUGUGGGUCUAUGGGUAAAGAGAAAUCGUGUUGUGAAGAUAAGCAUUUUUUUUUUUUUUGGUCAAGUAGCCUAGAAGAUAAGCAUUUUAGUGUGUUGCUUUUGUAAUACAUACAAGUGCUUCUGGUUCAGCUUUGUUUUUUCUACUAUUGAUUUGGUGUCGACUUCUUAUUUGUUCUCCAUGUCCUUUUACAAGUAGUUCUAGGCUUCUAGCAUCCAAAAAAACCAUGUUUCCUUCCUUUUUUUUGAAGAAACAAAAAUGGUAUAUAUUAACAAAGGCGGUAAAACCUCCUAAGUACAAGAUGUACUAAGAAGUCACCCCUCAAAGAGUCAAACAAAUGUAGUAAUUACAAUAAACCGGGUGCGUCGAUACCUAAACAAAGCAUAGGAUCCGACCACCACCUUUGAGAACCGUACACAAAUGUGGCUUUACUAGCUUUUAGCCACCAUAAAGAGUGUAAUUUUACUUUUUCUGAUAAGCCUUCAAUGGAUGUUUGGGUAUUAUUAAAAAGUCUGUUGUUGCGUUCAUUCCAAACCAUCCACACACAAAGUAACCAAAUGAGCUGCAGAAAGGAUCUACGCGCCCUCGUAUGACCCGUACUAGUAAUAAACUGAAUAAAGUGGUCACUAAGAUCAUGGGAAUCAGCUUCGGACACGCCAAUCCACGUUUCAACUAUACGUUUCAACAUCAGAAGAAUAAGAAGACCAAGUUUUAGUCAAGAGUAGAUUAUUUAUCCUUUAGAUUGUACAAUGCAUGUUCAAUCUCUGUGGUUGUGAAUUUUUAAUGAUUUUAAGAACAAUCUUAAGUACUAAGUUAAAAGUUAGGCUCAUCACUAAAUGUUACAGCAAAAACAGGACUUUCCAUCUAUAUAAUUUCUUUCCAUUAUAAAAUAUAUAUUUUGAUAAUCCAAACCUAUACUUCACAUGUUAUUGUUGGUGCUCCCCAAGUAUACCUGUCCGUAAUUGUCGGUUAAUGUCAUCAAAUUGGUCUUAAGUAGACGAAAUUGAUUGCAUUGCUCGACAUAUAUGUGUCAAUCUGAUGUAACCUAUAAUGGUGUGGUCUAACGUGAUCGUGCUAAACUUUUGUCGACUAGAAUGCAUGUUCACUCUGCUUAAUAUAUUGACAUCUUCAUUCACACUUGUGUUAUAUCAAUCUUUGCUUUUAGUCUCAGUAUAUUUUUGUUUUGCAUUUAGUCCUUUUUUGGCUUUAAUCUUUCAAAUAUUUGUCUAAUGUUUGGUAGGGAGCUUCUAUGAUGAACUCAGGAAAAUGACUUCUUCGGUGAAGUCGUUUGAAUGGGCCAAUCAGAUUUUAAAUGAUGACACGUCAAAAACCCUAAUCAUGUUCCAGUGUAGUGCGGUCUACGGUAGCGUAAGUGAAGGAAAACUUUAUUUUAUGAUUUUAAUGGUUAGAUUUACUUGAUCUCUAUGUUAUUGUGGUACACCAUCUACACAUGAUUUUUCUUCUAGUACCAAUUUUCUCUCCUCUUUAUUUUUCUUUCUUUAUUUAUUCAUAUUCUCUCUCUUCCAGAUUUUUAUUAAAUCAACAUCUUCAUCUUUCCUUCAUCUUCUUCGUAUCAUAUCUUCAUCAACUUAUUCAUCAUCUUCAUGAGAGAAAAAAUAAAAAAAACCCAAAAAAAAAAAAAAAAAAUGAAAUUACAUAAUAAAAAAAAAUGUAGAUAUAACAUGCUUAUAUAUAUUAUAUAUAAUAUAUUUCGAUUUUAGACAUUAAAAGAUAGAUGAUAUGGUGGUUACAAUUUUGAUUUUGCACACCUACUUCCCUCUCAAAGCUCAGACCUCCCUCCCAUUCAACACUUCUUUUUGAAUUAAAUUAAAAAUAAAAUACUUUAUACUCAAUAUCUUAAAUUGUUUUAAAUUUUGCAUAAUUUUUUUUAGAAUAUUAUAGGUUGCACACAAUAUUAUGGAAACUUAUUUAUCUUAUACAAUUUUAAAAAAUGUUUAUAAUUAAUAAAAUAUAUUUAAUCACUGUCUAAAAAAUUAUAUUUAAAUAAAACAUAUGAUAAUAAUUAUCUUAUAUUAAAGAUAUGAAUAAUAUUUAUCUUUUUUUUCCAUGAUUCAACCACAUACAAUUAAUGCCUAAAAAAAUGUCAAUCUCUUACUCUCCAAAUUAACUUGUCAUUAUUUAAUAUAAAAUCUUUUUUUCAAGAAAAAGACUUCCUUUUAAAAAUUUAAAAGUGUAUAAUAUAUAAAAAAAACUUAUGCAUUAAAGUAAAUUUUUGUGUGAUGUUUUUGAUUUUUUUUUUUUUUUUCUGAAACGUAAGAUGUUUUCGAUAUCGUUAUUAACGCAAAUUUCCGAGCUAAUUAGCCAUUUUCGAUACUGUUUUUAAAUAAAUUUUCGAUGCCAAUAUUUCUUCUUUAAAAAAAUAUAAUAAUUUUUAUUCUGCAAUCACACUUAAUACGUAUUUAAUGCUAGCUGUAUAAAUUGAAUCACACUUAAUACGUUUUUAAUGCUUUUUUUUUAAGAAGAAACGGAAAUGCUAGUUUUUUUUAGGGCGUUUUAAUGGUAAUUAUUACUUAUUAGUACGUUUUUAAUGUUAACAUUUUCCUAUUAAGCCAAAAAAAUAAGUUAGAGUACCUAAGGUUCAAUUAAGCCUAAAAACUAUUAAGACGAAAAUGAUGAUUAUAUAAAUUGUUUUAAAUUAAAAUUGAAAAAAUGGAUUGGGUUAAAGUCACCAUGUUUACGAUAAUUAUAUUUUUCCUCUCAAUUCACGUCGUUGAUACUUUAACCAAUAUUGUUGCCCCAUAAACGAGUACUCGCUGAACCAAUAACAUGAUGGACAUACUAAUUUUCAGCCUGACCACAUCACUUCUUUUGUGCAUCUAUCAUAGAGAUUUGUCGUCUCAAUUUGAUAAAAAAAAUUACUUUUUAAUUGCUGGAAAUUAACUAAAAGCAUAGCUGCUCUUGAUUCAAUCUGUAUAAUUCUGCAACUAAUCCACUGAGAGUAUAUAUUGUCGCAUAGCAGCCGCAAUUAACACUCUACUUGUCCAUCAAGAGUUGGAUUUAAAUUAGGGUAAUUGACUUUUGUGUUGAUUAGAAAAUGGAGAUGAAGAAAAUAUUGAGAUUCAUGUUAUUUGGAGAUGUAUUUGAGUAGUUAUUUUGUUUUUUGUUCAAUAAAGAAGAUGAUGAAGGUAUGAAGAUGGCGAUGAUGUUCAUAAUCUUCCUUGGUUUAUUUAUUUUUAAUAAUGAAAUAUUUUUUUAUAAAAAGGUUUAUUUAAAUAUUUUUUGAAAUAGAAGGAAGAAAAAAUCAAAAAGGAGAUUAUGAACACAAUAACACUAGUGAAUUGCUUAAUCUGAUAGUUCAAAAAAGCUAGUCUACGGUGGUACAUAUUGAGCAGAUACACGGUAUAUACCAUACAACAGUCAACACACAUGACAUCAUUCAACAAUGUGGCGCAUUAUUAUUGGAUGUAGGAUAACUUCUCUGAAAAAGUCAAUUUAAUGACUUCACCAUAGAAUUUUCCAUGUUUGGAAUUAGACCUUAUAUACUCCAUAUAAUUUAGGUACUAAGAUCAAUAAGGUCUACAUAUUACAAGACUUUAAUCAACAAGAACUAAAAUUAAAAUAACAAGGACCAAACACAAAAUUGUGUACGAAUCACGGACUAGAAAAACAAAUUACAAGGACUAAAGGUGAAAUUGAAAUAUUUAAGGAUAUCUAUCCCUAUCACGAUAUUUAAAUACCUUCUUGAUAUUUCAGUUAAUACAUUUCUUUAUCCUUUAUAGCUAAUGAUAUUCUACCACUUUUUUUUGCACUUGAUACAAGUUAUGCGAGUCUGUUUUGUCCACUUUCUCCAUCCCUCUCUAUCAAAAUGAUAUAAAAGGAAGGCGAGCUUGCUUCUUAUUAUCGUGUUCGAUCUCACCACGAUCAUCAAUCGACUCCACACACAGUAAUAAAACCUUUUUCAACUUUGAUAACUACUUAUAUGUUUAUUCAGUUAUGCGAUUCUAACCAACCAGUUUUGUUCUAGGUGAUUCUGUAAUAAACUAUUCCACCUGAUACUCAAUGGACAUCACCAAACCAUAGGUGGUUGCACCUUAUGGUGCUUGUGAUGAGUGACCUAACCUUAUUGUAAUGUACAUUAUAACCUUCUCGUGUUGCAAAUAGAUGGAGAUUCACCUUCUUCGAUGAUGGUGUCUUUAUGCCUUAAUUUCAGUGCUAACGGGCGUCUAUCAUGCAGAACUUAGUGUACAGGGUUUGAUAUCUAUUAUGUACCUUGAGGAAAGGUUCACUUGUUGUGAUAUAUAUUGUGAAGCCAUGUUGAAUGUUUGUAAAUUAGAAGAUGCCCAGGUUGGCAAAUUAGAAGAAAAAUGUGUCAUCACUUGUGGCAACUUCAGACCCUUUUUCCUCAAUUCUCUUGUUUUUUUUAACCACUUUUGUUAUGCCUUGUCUUCAAGUUCCAACAUAACAGCAAACAACUUUUUACUGCCAUGAAUUUAUAUGAAGUUCAAGUUGUUGUGAGUUGUGACAUUUGUAAUGUUGACAUAAUGAAACAUAUGGUAUCAAAUAUCAAUGAAAUCUUUGUUAUGAUUCUGAUAUGUCAUUCAUUAGAUACAUAGAAAUUAUUUUUACCAGAGGUAAACCUACUCAUUGUUCAUGUGCUUACGAAAAUAUUUGGUAUUAAGUAGCUUUGAUGCAAUCAAAACAAAUAAAUUGGAGGCAUAAAUUUAUAAGAACUAGAUACUUGUAAUGUUGCUCAUUGGUAUUAACUAGAUACUAACCCGAGUGCUGCUAACUAUGAAGGCACAAAUUUCAAAAUUACUUGGAUAUUCUCAUGUGUGUUUUCAUAUUCCAGGUUUACUUGGAUGAACAAAUUUGAUUAGGUGUCAAUGAACAAAAUUGGGAGGUUGUUUUAAUUGAUCAUUAUAAAAAGAUAAAUUAUAAAGCAGAUUUCAUUCACCUCCUCUAAAGUUUUAUUAAAUGAAACCUAAUCCGGUUGAACCUAAGAGGAUGGUUGAGCUACUUGGAUCCGUCGUCUGUUGGGGUUGAUCCACCGGUUUGUUCGCCGUCUGUCUGGUUCAGUUGAGUUGUGGAGAUGUGAUGGUUUUGGUGAGGUUGAUCGUCAGCCUCCAGUGAGAGGAAAAGGGUUGUGUACAAACAUACACUCCGGCGCCCAAGUCAGUUAGGAGUUUAAGAGGAAAGAUCACAAGUUUAGGGUAAGAAGUGUCAUACCUGUCCCAAGGCUAAAGCGUAGGUAUAAAGAGGGGCUAAGUAGGGUUUGACUGGAAAACCUUAUCUUGACAAUCGUACUUGUUGGUAUAGACAUGGGUAAUCCUUGGCCCUGGAUAGCUGUUUGGCCUCUGUGGUUGUGGUUAACCCCUUGACCUCAUGUGUAACCCUCGGCCCGCACCGUAAUCUGGUGGUUUUUAGGGCGUGUCCAUCAUAUGGUGUCGCCUGCUUAAUGGACUCGAGUCAGACCCGAGUAGAGCCGGAUUGAGCUUUAGGCUAGUCCGGAACAAAACCCACUCCCCCUUUAGUUUGAAAAAACAUUCACAUCCCUUAUUUGCUCCAUGAUUAAUGCACUUUUCCCCUUUUAACAUUAAAAGUAAUAGCCAAUUUAAUAUUUAUAUAUGAAACUCUAUCAAACUCGUGCAUUGUACGGGUUAGAGUCUAGUUAAAUUGAAUUGGUAGUCAGUUUUCGAUAAACAAGAAAUCAUACAUUGUGUGAUUUAGAUCAAUGAGAAGACAAAUGGUUCCAUCGUUGUUCUUUUAAACUUUGUUCUAAAGAUGAUGGAGCAUAAAAAAUGUGGGUGCACCAUAAAGGAAAACUCAUGUAAGGGAAAUCAUUGGAUUAAUCGAAACAGACAAUUAAGAUUUGAUGUAAAACUAAAGUUAAUAUAUGGUGUCAACAAAUUCUAUUAAGUUUUCGUAUAUACACACUUAAAAUAUGCAUAAAAUAUGCAAGGUUCGAGGUUCGAACCCCGUACACCACCAAAAAAAAUAUACACACUUAAAAAGUCGUGAUUAAUUAUAUUUUGUACUCCUUUCGUCUCACAAUAAUAGUCUCUUUACCAUUUUUUUCUUUUUCUCAAAAUAAUUGUCACUUUAGAAUAUCAAUGCAGCAUUUAUUAUUAUUUUUUCCACUAUUAUACCCUUAUUUAUUGAAUUUCAUCCAACUUAACUACUCUACUAACUAUAAUUAAUAAGAAUAUUUUUGUAAAUGAUAUCAAUUUUACCAUUGAAAUCAAUACAAUUAAUCAUUUCCUUAAUAAUCGUGCACAAACCUUAAACGAUUAUAAUUUUGAGACGGAUGGAGUAAAAGAAAAUUUGAGGAAUGGAGUAAAUGAGUAAUGAAUUUUGAUAUCUUAUUAUAUUCAUUAAUCAUCUUCUAAAAAUACUCUUGAUAUCUUAUUAUAUUCAUUAAUCAUCUUCUAAAAAUACUCCCUUAAUUGUUAUUUAAUUGUAUUUGAAAGUUCAAUGAAACAUCGAUUAUUGAUUAGUUAACAUUUUCUAUGUUUGCUAAAAAUAAAUCGACAAUGUCACUUAAUGAAAAAUAGAUAUUAAAAAGAAAAGUACUCUCUCCGUUUCAAAAUGAGUGUCGUUUUAGAUGUUUACACACAUAUUAAGAAAUGCAGUGAUUAAGAGAAUGAGAAUGGUUAUUUUACCAAAUUAUCUUUAUUAACUAUUGGUUAGUUUUAAAAGUAAUACUUUGGAAGUAGUGUGCAGAGUAUUAAUUGGAGGGUACAAUUGAAAAGAAAAAGUUAUUAUCACAUUGGAAACUGAAAGUGACACUCAUUUUGAAACAAUUUUUUUGGCUAAAGCGACACUCAUUUUGAAACGAAGGGAGUAGUGUUAACUUGUGCUUUAAGGCACAUGUUAAGAAAUCCAAAAAAGAAAUAUUCCCUUAAACUUUGUGCAUUCAAUUCAUUAAAAAUUAAGUUUAAUAUACGCAUUCCAAUACAUUAUUUCUAUAUGUGGCUUCUAAACUUGUACCUUAAGGGCACAAGUUAACAUUUCCCUAAAAAAAAUUAGAUUAAUACCUCAAAUUCGUCCUUGAAUUUUCAAAAAUCGGCCAAAUUCAUCCCUGAAUUUUGGAAAAUAUCUAUUUAGUCCCUGAAUUUUACAAACGUCAAUCAAAAUGGUCACUCCGUCCAAAAGCUCCGUUAGUGGUGAUGAUGUGUCAUCUUGCAUGUUGUGUUGUCCUGUACACGUGUCAACAAGGCAGCCAUGUGUACAAGGACUAAAUUGAUGGAAAUGGUAAAAAUUCGAGAUUUAACUUUUCAGUGUAAUUUUUCCUGUCUUUUCAAUUAUACCCCUCUAUUACCUAUGUUGUCCUGGAUCGAUUUGAGACUUACUGUCAUAUUUUGAGGAUUAAUUUGAUGGAUUUUGUUAUAAUUUAAGGGCUCAUAUGAUUGAUUUUAUUUGCAGAGAAUGAGUACAAGGAGAUAUGGCAUCAGAGGACUAGUGAUUUCAAAUAACAUGCAUAAACAAACACCACUGAGGGAUCCUGCUCCACAAAAUCCAACUGCUCCUGGAGUUGUUAGAGUUCCAAAUCCAAAUUACAGGACAUCUGCUUCUACUCAAUCCCAAUACAUGGAGUUUAUCCCAACUCCAGGAUUUCCAAAGCAUUGAUGCAUGUUUAAAUUAUGUUUUUGCACUAGUUUAAUUAAUGUUUUUUGGACUUGUUUAGUUUAUGCUUUUUUGGAUAUGUAAUCACUUAAGAACAUCAAAUCAUUUGAUGACUUGAUGGCUAUGUAAUGUUAUUUUUUUGGCUAUGUAAUCACUUAUGAACAUCAAAUAUAUGACUUAUGAUGGUAUGCAAAUAUCUGUCUUUUUAUAAUCAAAGUGUCUGUCUUCUACUUUUUACUUUGUUCAACAAAUGUAUCCACCAAGGAUCAUAGUGAUGUAUGUUGUGAAAAUUCAAGGACCUAUUUGAUGGUAUUUUCACCAAUUUUAGGAUCGAUAUGAUGGAUAUGUAUAUAAUUCAAGGACCAGUUUGAUUGAAAUUUUUUGACAGAAAGGUUUGAUUCAUUCGUUGACAACCUCUUUUCAUAACAACAUUACAUGGACUUGGCAUAAUACAAUAGCAUUUUAAACAAUUCAAUCAAACAAAAUACUCAUAUCAAUAUCUUAAUCAACUUAAGCUCACUUCCUACACAAUCAACUUUAUCCAUCAACCUUGCCCUCCAAACCUCUUCUCUCCCCCUAUCAUUUGGCUUCUCCAUCAACCUUGCAUUUCUUCCAUGACCAACACCAUUGUUUUUAAAAUAACCUAGUUCUUCAGCUUCAUCAACCUACACAAAAAAUCUACAAUUUUCACAAAUAUAUUAUACAAUCAAAAGACAAAAUCAGUACUAUUUAAACAAAUCAUUCACACAUCACAUAACCAUUGUUGACAGUGUUGGCUUUUCUGACAACACAAAUUCUAGGACACCAACAUUGAAGCUCUCUCACCUCAUCAUUGUACAUAGAGCUUGAAGAUGAAGAUCGACUGUUGUAGUUGUUUUUGCCCAUACGUCCACCACCCAUCAUUUAUGAACACCGAAUCUUGAACAAUGACCACUAAUUUUUGAAUUUCAAAUUGAAUCAAAAAAAUUAGGGUUAGGGUUUUAAGUUUUUUGAAUUGGGGAAGAACCCAUCAUUUAUGGAAGAAAUUUUGGGGAUUUUGAACUCUAGGUGACAAAUUAUAACAUUAGGGUUCCAAAUUUAUAUAUUUGGGGAAGAAAGAGUUGUUAAUGAGGAAUAGGAGAAAGAGGCGUUGACAAUUUUCUGAAAAUCCAUCAAUUUGGUCCUUGACAAUUUUCAGUAAACUAAUUAAUUUGGUCCCUGCUUGCGUGACAUCUAACGUGGUAAGUCUUUUAAGAGAUUAACGUUACACGUCACCUCCGUUAAUAUAUCAACUUAACGGAGAGACUGAUUUGAUUGACAUUUUGUAAAUUCAAGGACAAAAUAGCUAUUUCGGAAAAGAUGAUGACUCUAAUGGUGGCAUAUACUACUAUAACCCCACAAACAUAUGUGACACGUGGCCUUGUAGACCCCACAAACAUACACUCAGGAAGUUCCCCUUCACCGGCCUCACCCCUCAAAAAUCCCCACCCCCACCAUCGCCUUCUUCGGUCACACACCACCGUAACCCAUCGUCCACCUCGCCAUCGCGGUACCGGAUCUACUCAAAUCCGUCUCUCCUACCACGACCCUGCCGUCUUUCCAUCCUAACGUUUGACAUCCAGAUCCAGCUUUUUUUUUUUUUUUUUUAGAGAAAUAAAUGCCACCUAGAUGUGUUGCUUCUCACUGUUGUUACUACUGUCACUGCCCACAGAGAAGACUAAGCUGCUAAAUACCAAGUCGCCUCGCUCCCUUUUGCUGCACCUUCCUUCAACCUUCUCAGUUUUUUCUACCACCUAACAUAUUCAGUUCAUGCAUCAUAUCAUGACACAACCUUCUUUGUCUGGCUCUUCUAUCUUCACCUAUGAUGUUUUCAUCAGUUUUAGAGGCAUAGAUACCCGCAACAAUUUCACGCGCGACCUUUACGAUAUUCUUGAUCAAAACGGUAUUCACACUUUCUUUGAUGAACAAGAAAUUCAAAAAGGAGAAGAGAUCACACCAUCACUUCUUCAAGCUAUUCAACAAUCUAGAAUUUUCAUUGUUGUUUUCUCUAACAACUAUGCUUCCUCUACUUUUUGCUUGAAUGAACUUGUCAUGAUCCUUGACUGUUCCAACACACAUAGACGCUUGCUUUUGCCGGUUUUUUAUGACGUCGAUCCAUCACAAGUUCGCCACCAAAGCGGUGCUUAUGGUGAAGCUUUGAAAAAACAUGAAGAGAGGUUUAGUGAUGAUAAGGAUAAGGUGCAAAAAUGGAGGGAUUCUUUAUGUCAAGCUGCUAAUGUUUCUGGCUGGCAUUUCCAACAUGGGUAGAUUAUUUUAUAAUCUCAUACCAUACUUUUAUGCAUUUAUUUUAAUUACCAUGCUUUUGUUUGUCUAAUAGUUUCUGUGUAUAUGAUUUUACGAUGAAAAGAAAUCUCAGAUACAAUUCUAGAUGAAGGGAACAUAGCAAGUAAAUAGGCAUAUGAUUAUUUGAGCUUUAUGUGCACAAAUUAGCCAUAUAAUAUGUCAAGUUCUUCACAAGUUCACUUGUACUUCACCAAUUGAUUUCUGAGUAAUGGUUGGUAAGGGACUAAUUUGACUGAUAUUUGAGACUUUUUAAGAACCAAAUUGAUAUAUUUUAUUUCUUUGGAACCAAAUAUGUCUCUUUGUUUUUUCUCAAUGACCAGUUUAGACCUUUACUUAAUAAAAGAUGAAUUUGUGAAACCAAAAAAACAGAUUUCUGAUAAGUUGACACAUUAUGUGACUAACCAAAGUAACAAAACUUGCAUUGCAACUUCUAAAGACCUAAUUGUAUUUUACCUAUAAUUAAUUUCGACUAAGAUGAAGCACUAAGAAUCGAUUCAGUGCUGCUGUUUCAAAUCAUGCAUACUUCUGUGAUGUGUAGGUCACAAUCAGAAUACCAAUUUAUUGGUAAUAUCGUCGAGGAAGUCACUAAGAAGAUCAAUCGCACUCCUUUACAUGUUGCUGAUAACCCAGUUGCGCUAGAGUCUCCAGUGUUGGAAGUGGCAUCUCUUCUACGGAUCGGAUCUGAUGAGGGAGCCAACAUGGUUGGCAUUUAUGGAACCGGUGGUGUAGGAAAAUCAACAUUGGCUCGUGCUGUGUAUAAUAACCAAAUUUCUGAUCAAUUUGAUGGUGUGUGUUUUCUUGAUGAUAUAAGAGAAAAUGCAAUUAACCAUGGUCUUGUGCAACUCCAAGAAACACUGCUUUCUGAAAUACUUUGUGAGAAGGAUAUUAGAGUGGGUAAUGUUAGCAGAGGAAUUUCAAUCAUAAAAAGAAGGCUCCAAAGAAAAAAGGUACUUUUGGUUCUUGAUGAUGUUGACAAAGCGAAGCAGAUACAAGUACUUGCAGGUGGACAUUAUUGGUUUGGCUCCGGCAGCAAGAUCAUAAUCACUACAAGAGACAAACAUUUGUUGGCUAUUCAUGAGAUUCUGAAUUUAUAUGAGGUUAAACAGUUAAAUCAUGAAAAAUCUCUUGAAUUGUUUAAUUGGCAUGCCUUUAGAAACAGAAAAAUGGAUCCAUGUUACAAUGAUAUUUCAAACCGUGCAGUUUCUUAUGCUCAUGGCCUUCCAUUAGCUUUGGAGGUGAUAGGUUCUCAUUUGUUUGGCAAAAGAUUAGAUGUGUGGAAAUCUGCAUUAGAUAAAUAUGAAAGAAUUCUUCAUGAAGAUAUUCAUGAAGUUCUUAAAGUUAGCUAUGAUGAUUUGGAUAAAGAUGACAAGGGUAUUUUUCUUGACAUUGCUUGUUUCUACAAUUCUUAUGAAAUGGGCUAUGCCAAAGAAAUGUUAUACGUACAUGGUUUUAGUGCUGAAAAUGGCAUUCAAGUGCUGACCGACAAAUCCCUCAUAAAAAUUGAUGGCAAUGGUUGUGUUAGAAUGCAUGACUUAGUUCAAGACAUGGGCAGAGAAAUCGUGAGGCAGGAAUCAACUUUGGAGCCUGGCAAACGCAGUAGAUUAUGGUCUGAUGACGAUAUAAUUCAUGUUUUGGAAGAAAAUACGGUAUGUGCAAACCUCAGAACAUCAAUGUUGUUCUUCUGAUUGAUAACUACUAAAUUUCUAGAUUCUUAUUUUUCCAUUCUCAAUUACAAAUGCUUAAUGAAACUUAUUUUAAUAAGAAAAUGAUAUUAUUAUUUAGAAUUUGUAAUUUCUUGAAAUAUGUAGAUGAUGAUAUUCCUAAACUUUAUAUUCUGAUGAAAUAAUGAUUUGGAAUUGAAAGGGCACUGAUACAGUUGAAGUCAUAAUCAUCGACUUGUACAAUGACAAAGAAGUGCAAUGGAGUGGAACAGCCUUCGAGAAUAUGAAAAACCUUAAAAUUCUUAUAAUUAGAAGUGCACGCUUUUCUAGAGGUCCUAAAAAAUUACCAAAUAGUUUAGGAGUUUUAGACUGGAGUGGAUAUUCAUCACAAUCUUUGCCAGGUGAUUUCAAUCCUAAGAAGCUUAUGAUGCUUAGCCUACAUGAAAGUUGCCUUAUAUCGUUCAAAUCACUUAAGGUAUGUAUUUUUUUAACAUGUUUGAUUGGUCUUAAACUAUAAUGCUUGUUUCCAGUAAAAAUCGCAUAAUUUCAUUUCAUUGCUUUUAUGGUUUGUAGGUGUUUGAGUCCUUGAGCUUUCUGGAUUUUGAAGGAUGCAAGUUAUUAACUGAGCUACCUAGCUUAUCUGGACUAGUAAAUCUGGGGGCACUUUGUCUUGACGAUUGCACUAAUUUAAUCGCAGUUCAUAAGUCAGUUGGUUUUCUCAAUAAACUCGUGUUAUUGAGUACUCAAAGAUGCAACCAGCUAGAACUUUUGGUGCCCAACAUCAAUCUGCCAUCUCUAGAGACUCUAGAUAUGAGGGGUUGUUUGCGUCUCAAGAGCUUCCCUGAAGUAUUGGGAGUAAUGGAGAAUAUAAGAUAUGUUUAUUUAGACCAAACUUCCAUAGAUAAGUUGCCAUUUUCAAUUAGAAAUCUUGUUGGCCUCCGACAAUUGUUCUUGAGGGAAUGCGCGAGCCUAACUCAGCUACCGGAUAGUAUUCAUAUAUUGCCUAAACUUGAGAUAAUAACGGCUUAUGGUUGUAUAGGAUUUCGAUUGUUUGAGGAUAAAGAAAAAGUGGGUUCAAAAGUGUUUCCAAAAGCCAUGCUUGUUUAUAAAGAAGGAAGUCCGGUAUUGCUUGAUAUGUCCUCUCUUAACAUAUGCCCCGAUAAUGCCAUAGAAGUAUUUUGUUCUUCAUUUAUUCGUAUGAAUGCUGAUUUCAUCAGCAUAGGGAUUCUUGAAGGUAGAGGAAAUUGGUAUCAACAUGAAAGCAACGAAUCAUCCUUACAUUUUUGGUUUCAAAAUAAAUUCCCCAAGAUUGCUCUUUGUUGUGCUGUAAAACCUCCUGUGUGUAAAGGCAAUAUGUUGUUGGAUUUCAAUUUCAGUGUGCUCAUCAAUGGCACUAAGCAAUUCACUUCUUCAUGCAACUACAUGUUUUCUGCUGAAAAAAUAACUGAACAAGUUCUUAUGUGUGAUUUACAGUGCAAAGUGGAAAGAUUGUAUUUAGAGCAUGAAUGGAAUCAAGUAGAUAUUUUAUAUGAGUUUAAAUACCUUAUGCCAUGUGGCUCUAAAAGGAUAAUGGCUACCCAUGAUAGGACCACAACAAGAAAUCCAAGUUGGUCCUUCAUUUAUGCCUUUGAAGAUAACAAAGUGGGUGUCAAAUUUCUGUCGGAGUUUGAGGAACGGGAAGAGCAGUACAGAAGAAAUGAAGCAUAUUCUUGGUUUGAUUCAUUUUUUUUCGCAAGGUUUGUUUGAGAAUUUAGAAAUGGUUAAUUAAGUAAAUGAUCCUGUAAAUAUUAAGAAUUUUGUUUAGUCUAUAAAAAUAAAUUCGCAUUUUUUCGUCUCUGUAAAAUUUUCCGUCAGCAUUUUAAGUAUGUUAAAAGAAAAUAUUACAGAGGUUAAAAAGUGCAAUUUUGGUUGUAGGAACUAAAAAUGAAUUUAUGAAUAUUUAUAAAGACAUUUACUUGAUUAAUCCAUUGAAAAAUAACUGGAUUUUGACUUGCUUUAAUUAAUUUAUUUAUUUUUUGAAAAAAUUUGUAUAAGUAUUGAAAUCUACAGGAGCGCGCGCAUGUGUAUAUAUAUAUAUAUAUAUAUAUAUAUAUAUAUAUCAACGCGGAGGAAUUAUCAUAGAAAUUGCACCAAUAUAAAAUUUUAUACUUUUUUAGGGAUAAAAUUUUAUACUAGUACUUAACAAAUACUUUCUCCGUUUCAAAAUGAGUGUCGCUUUAACAAAAAUAAUUUGUUUUAAAAUGAAUGUCACUUUCAAUUUUCAAUGCAAUAAUAACUUUUUCUUUCCGAUUGUAUAAUCCAAUUAAUAUAAUGUAUAACAAUCAAAACAUUAAUUUUACUUUACUUAAAACAUAUCUAUAGUUAAUAAAGAUAAUUUGGUAAAAUAACAAAAAAUAGUCUAAACAUUGCACUUUUUAAUGUGUAAAAACUUUAAACGUCGUUCAUUUGAAAAUGGAUUAAGGAUCGUAAUAUGCUUGUAGUUUUUUUUUUCAUAAAGGUAGAAUAUAAUAUGUAAGUAGUUUGUUUAUAUAAUAUAAUUAAUAUUAAGUAACAUAUUAUACUUAUCUUCCUUUCAGAUCUUUAUCUCCUUUAGUAAAAAAAAAGAGACCUGUCUUUCCUUUUUUCCCGGUCCAAAGGUUAGAGGUACCAGUGAUUGGGAUCGAUCUCGGAACCACAUACUCAUGCGUAGGUGUAUGGCAACAUGACCGUGUUCACAUCAUCGCCAACGACCAAGGCAACAGAACCACAUCGUCUUACGUCGCCUUUACUGACUCCGAGUGUCUCAUCGGUGAUGCCGCUAAGAAUCAAGUCUCCUCGAACCCUAUCAACACCGUCUUCGAUGCUAAGAGGUUGAUUGGUCGUAGAUUCAGCGAUAUCUCCGUUCAGAGUGAUAUGAAGUUGUGGCCUUUUAAGAUUAUUUCUGGCCCGGAUGAUAAGCCAAUGAUUGGUGUUAACUACAAUGGUGAAGAUAAGCAAUUUACUGCAGAAGAGAUCUCUUCCAUGUUACUCUGGAAGAUUCGUCAGAUUGCUGAGGCCUACUUUGGCUCUCCCAUUAGGAAUGCUGUUGUUACUGUCCCUGUUUACUUUAAUAAUUCUCAGAGACAAGCUACUAAGGAUGCUGCUGUUAUUGCUGAACUUAAUGUCAUGGGAAUUAUCGAUGAGCCCACUGCUUCAGCCAUUGCUUAUGUUCUUGAAACAACCAGUGUUGGAGAGAAAAAUGUCUUGAUCUUUGACCUUGGCGGUGGUACUUUUGAUGUCUCUUUGCUAACUAUUAUUAAAAAUUAUCAUGGCUUGUUCUGUGAGGUUAAAGCAAUAUCCGGAGACCCCCAUCUUGGAGGUGAGGAUUUUAAUAACAGAAUGGUGAACUACUUUGUUCAAGAGUUCAAGAGAAAGAACAGGAAGGACAUCAGUGGCGACCAAAGAGCUCUUAUGAGGUUGAGGACUGCUUGUGAGAAGGCCAAGAGAACUCUAUCAUUUACUCUCCAAACCACCAUUGAAAUUGUUUGUUUAUUCAAGGGAAUGGAUUUCUUCACCAUCAUUACUCGUGCCAGAUUUGAAGAGCUCAACAUGGAUCUCUUUAUGAAAUGUAUGGAGACUGUCGAGAAACUUUUGAGAUUUGCUAGGAUGGACAAAACAAGUGUCCAUGAUGUUGUCCUUGUAGGAGGUUCUACCAGAAUUCCAAAGGUUCAACAACUAUUGCAGGAUUUCUUUAACAGAAAGAAGCUAUGCGAUAGCAUUAAUCCCGACGAGGUUGUUGCAUAUGGUGCUGCAUUUUACGCUGCAAUCUUGAGUGGUGAGUACAAAAGAAAUGUCCAUGAUGUUGUCCUUGUAGGAGGUUCUUCUUUUGUUAAGAUUAUUUUGGUUAUUGAGAUCUGUUUGUUUCACUUUGAGAUCUGUUUCUUUCCAUUUGCAUGUUGUUGAUGGCUUCUUAAUUCUUUCUCUUUUCCCUCUUUUUUUUUUUCUUUUCCUUUUUGUGAAAUGAGUAUUGUUUCAUCCACAUUGGUUGAUAUUGUUUAAGAUCUGUUUGUUUACUUUGCAUGUUGUUGAUGGCUUCUUAAUUCUUUCUCCUUUCCCUCUUCUUUUUUUGUGAAAUGGGUAUUGUUUUUUGUAUAAUCAUGUUAUCGAUGCGAAAUAUCAACCCAACUUUACUGAUAUCUAAUCUCUGCCGGUGAACCUGGCUCACCACCUUUCCAACCAUGUUUUUCUCAUCCACAUUGGUCGAACAUGAGACCUUGUUUAAGAGAUCAGAGUCUAGUUAAUGUGAAUUUGUUUAUUCUAAUACAUUAGCAAGUGUAUAUUGUGGAAGCUUUGUAUUUUUGUUAUACUUUUAUGUCUUUUAGGGUGUGAUAGGUAGGUGCAUGCUUACUGAUGUUGAUAAAUUUGAAAUGGUUUUGUUGAUAACAUUUUGGUUACAACUUGCAAUCUACGGUUCAUUUAUUUUAAUGGAUUUGAGACAAAUGCAACUUUUUUCGAUAUUUUUUGAAAUAAAGUGAAAUGUCUUUCUGGAUGGACACUUGAACUUUGAUUUUUAAGAAAAUUUAAGCUGUCCCCUGUUCUCACUUGUGUGGUGCUACAAAUUGUUCAUGAAUCUAUUUAUAUGAAAAGAAAAUUUGAGUUUUAUUGUAUCAUAUUAUAAUAUUUCAAUAUCAUCAUCAAUGUCACGAGGGGUAACCUUGGUGCAACUGGUAAAGUUGUUGUCAUGUGACUAGAAGGUCACGGGUUCAAGUCCUGGAAACCGCCUCUUGUGUAAACAACAGAGUAAGGCUGUGUACAAUACACCAGGUUGCCCUUUUUUAUCAUCAUCAAUGUUCACCCAUACUUUGCUGCUUAAUAAUGUAUGUUUGCACACAAACACACAAAAGACUUGCAACUUUAAUGUAUGGUUUUGACACGACCAGCGUUGGAGAGAAGAAUGUCUUAAUCUUUGACCUUGGUGGUGGGACUUUUGAUGCCUCUUUGCUAACUUUUGAAGAGAGUGUCGUUGAGGUUAAAGCUAUAUCCGGAGACACCCAUCUUGGAGGUGAGGAUUUUAAUAACAGAAUGGUGAACCACUUUGUUUAAGAGUUCAAGAGAAAGAAGAAGAAGGACAUUAGUGGCAACCCAUGAGCUCUUAUGUGGUCGAGGACUGCUUGUGAGAAGACCAAGAGAACUUUAUCAUUUACUGUCCAUUUGAGGGAAUUGAUUUCUGCUCCUCCAUUUCUCGUGCCAGAUUUGAAGAGCUCAACAUGGAUCUCUUUAGGAAAUGUAUGGAGCAAGUUGAGAAAUGUUUGAGAGAUGCUAAGAUGGACAAAAAAAGUGUCCAUGAUGUUGUCCUUGUAGGAGGUUCUACCAGAAUUCCAAAGGUUCAAAAACUAUGCAGGAUUUCUUUGACGGAAAGGAGCUAUGCAAUAGCAUUAAUCCCGAUGAGGCUGUUGCAUAUGGUGCUGCAGUUUGUGCUGCAUACUUGAGUGGUGAGUACAAUUAGAAGGUUCAGGAUCUUCUCCUUUUGGAUGUCACCCCUCUAUCUCUUGGUUUGGAGACUGUUGGUGGUCUGAUGACUGUUAUAAGUCUUUCUCAACCUAUUCUGACAACCAGUCUGAUUUGUUGAUCAAAGUCUUUGAAGGAGAGGGAACAAGAAUUAAAGAUAACAAUUUGUUGGGAAAAUUUCAACUUUCCGGCAUCCCUCCUGCUCCUUGGGGUGUUCCACAGAUCAUUGUAUGCUUUGACAUUGAUCCUAAUGGUAUAUUGAAUGUCUUUGCUGAAGAGUGAAGACAAAAACUACUUGCCAGUUGAUCAAAAUCACCAUCACCAAUGACAAGGGAAGACUUUCAAAGGAAGUCAUUGAGAAGAUAGUUCGAGAGGCGGAGAAGUACAACUCAGAAGUUUAAGAGCAUAAGGAGGUUGAGGCCAAGAAUGCUAUGGAAAACUAUACAACACGAGGGACACCAUUAAGGAUGAAAAGAUUGCAGGAAAGCUUGAUUCCAAAGACAAGAAAAUUGAGGACACCAUUGAGGCUACUAUCCGGUGGCUAGACGCCAAUCAGCUUGCAGAGGCAGAUGAGUUUGAGGACAAGAUGAAGGAACCAGAAGGUGUCUGCAACCCUAUCAUUGCCAAGAUGUACCAAGGUGGUGCUGGUCUUGGCAUGGAUGCUGCUCCAGGGAAUGAUGAUGUUCCUUCUGGUGCAGGCGGUGCUGGCUCUAAGAUUGAGGAAGAGAACCAAACUUAGUUACUUUCUUCUGAUAUGUGGUUUAUAUUUUCAUGUAUAAUUUUGUUUUGAUGUAUUAAUCUCGCUGGAUUUAACUUCGACGUUUUGGCUGGUUUGUGAUUUUUUUGGUAUUCGAUUAUCUUCGUACUAUUAAGUGUUAUCUUUUGUUUUAAGUAUUUCAAAAAAAAAAAAAAAAAAAAAAAAAAAGAUAUAUGUAUUAAUCAAAAUACAUUAUAUUAUGUUUAAAAUAACCAAACAAAAAAAAAAAUUAAUACCAAGACUUAGAGUCCAUGCCCGCACAUUAUAUAGACUAUAUCAAUAAUUUUAUGUAAUACUAAAGUUAAUUAAUUAAUCACAAGUCAUUGAUCUUUAUUGUAAUAUGUACUUGUUUUUUAUAUUUUAGAUGUGUUUUAAUAAUAUGAUGCUUAAUAUUUUAUAUGUUGAUUUAAGAGAUUUCAGAUCAUAUUUUAAUUAUGUUGUGAUAUUUUUUUUUUUGUUAUUUAUUACCUUUUUGUUGUUAAAGUGAGGGUAAUGGGCGUGGGUACGAGCGCUUAGAGAUCCAUAGUGUAUGGGGAAGAGCAUCAAACUUGUUAUGAGCUCAGAUAUGGGGAUUUUUAUAAACGAGGAUAUGGGGAUGGACACUGUAGUACCCUACCUAAAGGGUACUCAUUCUGAUCCCCACAAGAAUACAUAAAACUCUAUAGCACCUUUUGAAGGAUCUCUUCAAGGCUUAAUGUGACUAUAGCUACACCAGCUCAACCCAUAUUUUAAAAAAAUAAAAAAUUAUUGUUUUGGUGUGGGAAAAUUUAUUGUUUUGCCAACAAGUACCAAGUCAAUGCCUCACAAGCUGCCAACAUCACACACAAUAUACAAACAAACACUCAGACUCAGAGAAAUCAAUUUUCCUCAAUUCUCAUAUCAUGAAACAUCCGUCAUUGUCUGUCUCUUGUAGCUUCACCUAUGAUUGUACUUGUGAUGUUUUCCUUAGUUUCAGAGGCAUAGAUAUCCGCAACAGUUUCACCGGUAACCUCUACAGGUCUCUUGAUCAAAAGGGUAUUCACACUUUCAUUGAUGUAGAAGAUAUUCAACAAUCGAGGAUCUACAUUGUUGUUUCCUCAACUUUUUAUUAUUUUUAUGUUUUGUAGGUGCUUGAGUCGUUAAGCUUUCUGGAUUUUGAAGGUUGCAAGGUGUUAACUGAGCUACCUAGCUUAUGUGCACUAGUUAAUUUAGUCACGAUUCAUAAGUCGAUUGGUUUUCUCGAUAAACUCAUGCUAUUGACUACUCAAAGAUGCAACCAGCUAAAGUUUUGGUGCCUUACAUCAAUCUGGCAUCUCUAGAGACUCUGGAUAUGAGGGGUUGCUCGUGUCUCAAGAGCUUCCCUGAAGUAUUGGGAGUAAUGGAAAAUACAAGAUAUGUUUAUUUAGACCAAACUUCCAUAGACAAGUUGCCAUUUUCAAUUGGAGAUCUUGUUAGCCUCCAAGACUGUUCUUGAGGCAGUGCAAGAGUCUAACUCAGCUACCAGAUAGCAUUCGUAUAUUACCUAAACUUGAGAUAAUAAAGGAAAGGAGACACUGCUUGAUGUGUGUUCUCUUAAUAUCUAUGCCAACAAUGACAUAGAAGUAUGUAAGCCUUCGUUUGUCAGUAAUGAUUUCGGAUUCGUGUUUAAAGGGAUUUUUUAAGGGAGAGUAAAUUGAUACCAGCAAGGAAUCAAGGAAGCAUCAUUAUGUUUUUGGUUUCGAAAGAAAUUCCCUCAGAUAGCUCUAUGUUGUGCUGGAGAACCUCCUAUGUAUAAAGACAAUAUGUUGUUGGAUUUCAAGUUGAGUGUACUCAUCAAUGGCACUAAGAAAUUCACUUCUUCAUGUAACUUUCUGCAGGAAGGAUAUCAGACCAAAUAUUUUCUUUUAGCCAAAUAUUCUAUCCCCACUUUUCCAAUUUCAGUCUCCCUCCCAUAGCUCCAAAACCCUAAUAGCCAAUUUCAAUCUCACUUUCCCCCAAUUUGAAACCUAAAUCUCUACCACCUAUGGUUCAAUCGAAGCAUUCCCAAAAUUUCAUUUUCCAAUUUCAUUUAAGCUCUCCCCCAAUUUCACCUUCACCCACAAUCUCGGCCAGCAUUGAUAAACAAAGCAGAGUUGAGCUGUGAAAUCAAUCAAGUUCAGUUUUUUAUCAUCUUCUCAACCAGGUUCGUUCCUUCCCUUCUCUCACUAUUCUUAUUCCUUUCUCUCAAUUAUCGAUCCCUUUCCCCUUUCCUUUUCUAGGGUUUCUGUUUUUUUAAUUAACAACCUCACCCUAAUUCAUAAUUUACCUAUCUCUCUCUCUAAUUGAAAUUUUAAUUUAUUUGAUUAAUAUUUAAAUGAAGUAUCUAGUAUAUGUGCUUUUUGUUGAAUCGGUGUGAUUAAGUGUUUUCUUUUACCUAAACGCGAUCUUAUUAUUGUUUAUCAUGAUUAAUCAUUCUAAUUUGUGUCGAUUCUUUUAUAUCAUUAUUGAAUAGCUGGGUUAAGUUUAAUGUGUAACCUAGCUAGAUUGUUUUUUAUCAAGCUUGUGAAUAUUUGAUGCUUCUGAUAAAGGUUCUGUUUGAUUGCAAAACUAGGAAGCUGUUUGGCAUCACGUUGGUUUGUCGCGUCGAAAUCACGUUGAGCUACUUUUUUUGGGUGUAACCCUUCGGUUCUUAAGGGAAAAAGUGUCUUGUAAUUUGGAGUUCAGCGGUAAAGUUUGACCAAGAAUUGCUCUUCUAAGAAAUCAAACUCAGGUGAGCUAUUGUGAUUUUGCAAAAGCUAUAUAGUGUUUAGUUUUGCAAAGUUGCGUUUGAUUUGGUAACGGUAACGAUUUCUGAUCUCAGAUCUGUUGAAUUUUGGUACUGUGGUGAUUCACCUUAUGUUGAAAAAAUUUAAUUGCUCCUUUUUUGUUUUGUUAAUUUCUUGAUCUGUAUGGACAAUUGGAUUCAUAUACAUAUAGGUGUAGAUGAAUCUUGAAUAUUAUAUGUAAGGAUCUUUGCUAUUUUUUUAUUUUGUAAUAUAUUGGUUUUGGUUAUGUUGUUGAUGGAUCUGUCAAUUUUCUAUUACCGAUUUAUUCAUUCUGUAAUAUUAGCAGCUCUUAGUUCUUUGAUUUGGUUUAUCAUGAAUCGAUAGCGCAAAUCAAUAAGGAAAUUUAUCAUUGUUCUGAGUUGUUUGUAUAAUCAUUAUGUUCAUUUUAUGUUGCUUGUUUCUGGUGUGUAGAGAGAAUAGAAAUCUGUGUUUAAUCUUUUUUCUUGUUUUCUCUGAAGUUGUGAUAGCAAUGUUGUUAUGUACCUAGGCAUAUUGGGUUACUGCUAUCACGCAUUUGUGAAUCUCGACUUUUGGAUGAAGAUCAGACUAUUUAUAUUUUGAUCUUCAUUCAAUUUGAUGGAGUCAGAAUACAAAGUCUGAUCUUCAUUCAACUGCCAUGAUCCCUUGAUCGUGUGUCUGCACACUUGAAUAUAGAUUUAGGUAAUGUAAUCCUGAUGUUUGCAUGAAGUAAUUUUAACUUGAGAUAUAUUUUUGAAAGUGACUGGAGAGUUUGCAUUUGUCAAAUUAUAGGGAAAACAUUUAGUUUGAUCCUGGAAAAACACGCGUCUCAAAGAAUAAUAUGUCAGUAGAGAUAACAAAGAGGAUGUCAAAUUUCUGUCUGAGUUUAUGGAAUGCAAGGAGGCUGAGAGAAGAAAGGAAACACUAUUGAUAGAAAAGAUCAAAUGUGGUCUACUGAAAACCGAUCCCCUGUUCUAGAUGAGCAAAACACGGUUUUUUCUGGGUUCACUCAUUCAAAAGUGGAAAAAACAGCGUUUCUUGUCCGUCCAGAACAGGACUUCCGGAUGGAAUCGGUUUUCAAAGAAAGGUGUGGGGAAAUAAAAACAGCUCACUUAUUUUGAUUCAAGAUGUAAACUCCAUCUAAUUCAGUGGAUAAUCCAUAGUAUACCAUAUAAUAUUUUAUGGUAUCUCCAAAAAUAUCUCAUGAGUUUCUCAUUUUUUUUUUCUAUAGUUGUCGACAUGUUUCAGAAAAUACAUAUACACAGAGAUCAAAAUAAAUUAUCACAAAUUAAGAUGUCCCUCAAACAAAAUAUAUUUAAGUAUGUUUCACACAAAUUAAAUAGACAUAUCACAAAAAUUUAUGCUGAGAGUUUUUUCAAUUUAUUGAAAGAAACAUGUUACCAUGGCCACAAAUUAAAUAGAGAUUCUACAUAAAUAUACACACACACACAGAGGAUGCAAUGAGCUGCUUCUACACAGAAUCUCUAACAUUUGGAAAAGUCAUAUAUAUACGUUCAAUCAUUGUACAUGACAUAUAAAUAAUUGAACAUGAUAAUGACACCAUGAAGAUGAACUAAGUACGUAACAACUUAAUUGAUUAUAAAAAAUAAGUGAUGUUAAAACUAUUAUGUGAAAGAAGUAUCAAGAGACUAAUUUAACAUGUUAUAUUCAAACAUUGAAUAUGAGCAUAUACGUCAGGCUCUAGACAUCAUCAUAAUAAUAUUCAUUAUUUAAAGGGAACCAACACUCAACCAUUUCACAUGUUGCAUAUAAGUAAGCAAAAGUCAUAUAUUCACCAAUUAGUUCUACGAUAAUACAUUAAGAAUCUGAUAAAAUAUUUAUAAUCAAAUCAUACUUCAACAAAUUAUUUUCCAUAGAGAAGACUUAGCUGCUAAAUGCCAAAUCAAUGCCUCACUCACUCCCUUGUGGUGCACCUUCCUUCAACCUUCUCAGAAUUUUCACCUACAACACAUUCAGUUCAUUUAGAUAUCAACUUAAUUUCUUCUACAUAAUAUACAAACAAACAUCAAAAACAACACUCAGACUCAGAUAAAUCUGUUUUACUCAAUUCUUGCAUCAUAUCAUGACACAGCCUUCAUUGUCUGUCUCUUCUAGCUUCACCACCUAUGAUGUUUUCAUCAGUUUUAGAGGCAUAGAUACCCGCAACAAUUUCACCCGUGACCUUUACGAUAUUCUUGAUCAAAACGGUAUUCACACUUUCUUUGAUGAACAAGAAAUUCAAAAAGGAGAAGAGAUCACACCAUCACUUCUUCAAGCUAUUCAACAAUCUAGGAUUUUCAUUGUUGUUUUCUCUAACAACUAUGCUUCCUCUACUUUUUGUUUGAAUGAACUUGUCAUGAUCCUUGAGUGUUCCAACACACAUGGACGCUUGUUUUUGCCUGUAUUUUAUGAUGUCGAUCCAUCACAAGUUCGCCACCAGAGUGGUGCUUAUGGUGAUGCUUUGAAAAAACAUGAGAAGAGAUUUUCUGAUGAUAAGGUGCAAAAAUGGAGGGAUGCUUUAUGUCAAGCUGCUAAUGUUUCUGGCUGGGAUUUCCAACACGGGUACAGUAUUUUAAUAAUCUCAUACCAUACUUUUAUGCAUUUAUUUUAAUUACCGUUCCUUUGCUUGUCUAAUAGCUUAUAUAUAGACGAUUUUAUAAUGCAAAAGAAAUAUCAGAUUCAAUUCUAGAUGAAGGGAACAUAGCAUGUUAAGUUUAUGUGCACCAAUUAACCUCAUAAUAUGUUAUGUUUUUCAUAAGUUCAGUUGUACUUCACAAAUUGAUUUCUGAGUAAUGGUUUGGUAAGGGACUAAUUUGACUGAUAUUUGUGACUUUUAAGAACCAAAUUGAUGCUCUUUAUUUCUUUGGACCCAAAUAGGUCUCAGUGUUUUUUCUCAUUGACAUUUGACAAGUUUAGACCUUUACUUAAUCGAAUGAUGAAUUUGUGAAUUGUGAAACCGGAAAAACAGAUUUGUGAUAAGUUGACACAUUAUGUGACUAACCAAAGUAACAGAACUUGCAUUGCAACUUCUAAACACCUAUUUGUAUUUUACUUGUAAUUAAUUGACCAAGAUGAAGUACUAAGAAUCGGUUCAGUGCUUCUGUUUCAAAUCAGGUAUACUUUUGUGUUGUGUAGGUCACAAUCAGAAUACAAAUUUAUUGGAAAUAUCGUUGAGGAAGUCACUAAGAAGAUCAAUCGGACUACUUUACAUGUUGCUGAUAACCCAGUUGCAUUAGAGUAUCCAAUGUUAGAAGUAGCAUCUCUUCUAGGUUCUGGACCUGAAAAGGGAACCAACAUGGUUGGAAUUUAUGGUAUCGGUGGUGUAGGUAAAUCAACAUUGGCUCGUGCAGUUUACAACCAUAUUUCUGAUCAAUUUGAUGGUGUGUGCUUUCUUGCUGGCAUAAGAGAAAGUGCAAUUAAUCAUGGUCUUGCACAACUCCAAGAAACGCUACUUUCUGAAAUACUUGGAGAGGAGGAUAUUAGAAUAAGAGAUGUUUAUAGAGGAAUUUCAAUUAUAAAAAGGAGGCUCCAAAGAAAAAAGGUACUUUUGGUUCUUGAUGAUGUUGACAAAGUGAACCAGAUACAAGUACUUGCAGGAGGGCAUGAUUGGUUUGGCCCCGGCAGCAAGAUUGUAGUCACUACAAGAGACAAACAUUUGUUGGCUAUUCAUGAGAUUCUAAAUUUAUAUGAGGUUAAACAGUUGAAUCAUGAAAAAUCUCUUGAUUUGUUUAACUGGCAUGCCUUUAGAAACAGAAAAAUGGAUCCAUGUUACAGUGAUAUUUCAAACCGUGCAGUUUCUUAUGCUUCUGGCCUUCCAUUGGCUUUGGAAGUAAUAGGUUCUCACUUGUUUGGCAAAAGUUUAGAUGUAUGGAAAUCUUCAUUAGAUAAAUAUGAAAGAGUUCUUCACAAAGAGAUUCAUGAAAUUCUUAAAGUUAGCUAUGAUGAUUUGGAUGAUGAUCAGAAGGGUAUUUUUCUUGACAUCGCUUGUUUCUUCAAUUCUUAUGAAAUGAGCUAUGCCAAAGAAAUGCUAUACCUACAUGGUUUUAGUGCUGAAAAUGGAAUUCAAGUGCUGACCGACAAAUCCCUCAUAAAAGUUGAUGGCAAUGGUUGUGUGAGAAUGCAUGACUUAGUUCAAGACAUGGGCAGAGAAAUCGUGAGGCAGGAAUCAACUGUGGAGCCUGGCAGACGCAGUAGAUUAUGGUUUGAUGACGACAUAGUUCAUGUUUUGGAAACAAAUACGGUACGUGCCAACGUCAAAACAUAUAAGUUGUUCUUCUGGUUGAUAACUACUAAAAUUCUAGAUUCUUAUUUAUCCAUUCUCAAUUAUAAGUGUUUAACUAAACUUAUUUUCAUAAGAAAAGGAUGUUAUUAUUUCGAAUUUGUAAUUUCUUGAGAUUUGUUGAUGAUAUUCAUAAACUUUACAUUCUGAUCAAAUAAUGAUUUGGAAUUGAAAGGGCACUGAUACAAUUGAAGUCAUAAUCAUGAACUUGUGCAAUGACAAAGAAGUGCAGUGGAGUGGAAAAGCCUUCAACAAGAUGAAAAACCUGAAAAUUCUUAUAAUUAGAAGUGCACGCUUUUCUAGAGGUCCUCAAAAACUACCAAAUAGUUUGAGAGUUCUAGAUUGGAAUGGAUACCCUUCACAAUCUUUACCAGCAGAUUUCAAUCCUAAGAAUCUUAUGAUACUUAGCCUUCCUGAAAGUUGUCUUGUAUCGUUCAAAUUGCUCAAGGUAUGUAUUUUUUUUUUACACAUUAAACUGGUUUAUGCAUAGCAAUGCUGUGUCUUUUAGGUCUAUGAAUGUUAUUUUUAAGAGGUUUGGUUUUGCAAUCUAGAAAGGGUUAGUAGUGCAGCUUGUUGUCUAUCUGCCUUUCGUUCCUAUGUGUGUGUGUGUAUAUAUAUGGUACUAAAAAAGUUAACAAUUAAACAAUUAACCUUGUUUGAAUGAAAGAGCAUGCCAAUUAGAUGCAUUUGUUACUGGUCACUAUAAUGUGAGUAUCCAGUAAAUAUCUCAUAAUUUCAUUAUUUUAAUGUUUUGUAGGUGUUUGAGUCCUUGAGCUUUCUGGAUUUUAAAGGUUGUAAGUUAUUAACUGAGCUGCCUAGCUUAUCUGGACUAGUUAAUUUAGGGGCACUGUGUCUUGACGAUUGCACUAAUUUAAUCAGGAUUCAUGAGUCGAUUGGUUUUCUCAAUAAACUCGUGCUACUGAGUAGUCAAAGAUGCAAACAGCUAGAACUUUUGGUGCCCAACAUCAACCUGCCAUCUCUAGAGACUCUAGAUAUAAGGGGUUGCUCGCGUCUCAAGAGCUUCCCUGAAGUAUUGGGAGUAAUGGAGAAUAUAAGAUAUGUUUAUUUAGACCAAACUUCCAUAGGUAAGUUGCCAUUUUCAAUUAGAAAUCUUGUUGGCCUCCGACAAAUGUUCUUGAGGGAGUGCAUGAGCCUAACUCAGCUACCGGAUAGUAUUCGUAUAUUGCCUAAACUCGAGAUAAUAACGGCUUAUGGUUGUAGAGGAUUUCGAUUGUUUGAGGAUAAAGAAAAGGUGGGUUCAGAAGUGUUUCCAGAAGCCAUGCUUGUUUGUAAAGAAGGAAGCGUGGAAUCGCUUGAUAUGUCCUCUCUUAACAUAUGCCCUGAUAAUGUCAUAGAAGUAUUUAGUACUUCAAUUCUUGAUGGUAAUGUUGUAUUUAUGAGAGAAGGGAUUGCUAAAGGGAGAGGAAAUUGGUAUCGACAUGAAAGCAACGAAUCACCCUUACGAUUUUGGUUUCAAAAUAAAUUCCCCAGGAUAGCUCUGUGUUGUACUGUAGAACCUCCUGUGUGUAAAGACAAUAUGUUGUUGGAUUUCAAGUUGAGUGUUCUCAUCAAUGGCACUGAGCAAUUCACUUCUUCAUGCAACUACAUAUUUUCUGCUGAACAAAUAAUUCUUCUGUGUGACUUAGUGUGCAAAGUUGAAAGAUCGUAUUUAGAGCAUGAAUGGAAUCAAGUAGAUAUUUUAUAUGAGUUUAAAUACCUUAUGCCAUGUGGCUCUAAAAGUAUAAUGGCUACCCAUGAGAUGACCACAACAAGAAAUCCAAGUUGGUCCUUCAUUUAUGCCUAUGAAGAAGAUAACAAAGUGGUUGUCAAAUUUCUGUCCCAGUUUGUGGAAUGGGUAGAGCAGCACAGAAGAUAUUUCUCAUAUUAUUGGUUCGGUUCAGUACUUUACACAAGGUUUGUUUGAGAAUUUAGAAAUGGUUAAUUAAGUAAUAUAUAAUAUAACUAAUAUUAAAUAACAUAUUAUACUUAUCUUCCUUUCAGAUCUUUAUCUCCUUUGGUCAAAAAAAAGAGACCUGUCGUUCCUUUUCCAGUCAAAAAGUUAGAGGGACCAGCGAUCGGGAUCGAUCUGGGAACCACAUACUCAUGCGUAGGUGUAUGGCAACAUGACCGUGUUGAAAUCAUCGCCAACGACCAAGGUAACAGAACUACACCAUCUUACGUUGCCUUUACCGACUCCGAGCAUCUCAUCGGUGAUGCCGCUCUGAAUCAAGUCUCCUCGAACCCUAUCAACACCGUCUUCGAUGCUAAGAGGUUGAUUGGCCGUAGAUUCAGUGAUCCCUCCGUUCAGAGUGAUAUGAAGUUGUGGCCUUUUAAGAUAAUUUCUGGCCCGGAUGAAAAGCCAAUGAUUGGUGUUAACUACAGUGGUAAAGUUAAGCAAUUUGCCGCAGAAGAGAUCUCUUCCAUGGUACUCACGAAGAUGCGUGAGGUUGCUGAGGCCUACCUUGGCUCUGCCAUUAAGAAUGCCGUUGUUACUGUCCCUGCUUACUUUAAUUUUUCUCAGAGACAAGCUACUAAGCAUGCUGGUGCUAUUGCUGGUCUUAAUUUCAUGAGAAUUAUUAAUGAGCCCACUGCUGCAGCCAUUGCUUAUGGUUUUGACACGACCAGCGUUGGAGAGAAGAAUGUCUUGAUCUUUGACCUUGGUGGUGGUACUUUUGAUGUCUCUUUGCUAACUAUUGAAGAGUGUAACUUUCAGGUUAAAGCUACAGCCGGAGACGCCCAUCUUGGAGGUGAGGAUUUUAAUAACAGAAUGGUGAACCACUUUGUUCGAGAGUUCAAGAGAAAGAACAAGAAGGACAUUAGUGGCAACCCAAGAGCUCUUAUGAGGUUGAGGACUGCUUGUGAGAGGGCGAAGAGAGCUCUAUCAUCUACUGCCCAGACCACCAUUGAAAUUGAUUGUCUAUUUGAGGGAAUUGAUUUCUAUACCCCCAUUACUCGUGCCAGAUUUGAAGAGCUCAACUUGGAUCUCUUCAGGGAAUGUAUGGAGCAAGUUGAGAAAUGUUUGAGCCAUGCUGGGAUGUACAAAGGAAGUGUCCAUGAUGUUGUCCUUGUAGGAGGUUCUACCAGAAUUCCAAAGGUUCAACAACUAUUGCAGGAUUUCUUUAACAGAAAGGAGCUAUGCAAGAGCAUUAAUCCCGAUGAGGCUGUUGCAUAUGGUGCGGCAGUUUACACUGCAAUCUUGAAUGGUGAGUACAAAAGAAGUGUCCAUGAUGUUGUCCUUGUAGGAGGUUCUUCUAUUGUUAAGAUUAUUUUGGUUUUUUUCAUAUUGAUUGACACCUGACUUUCCUUUUCCAGUCGAAAAGUUAGAGGUACCAGCGAUCGGGAUCGAUCUCGGAACCACAUACUCAUGCGUAGGUGUAUGGCAACAUGACCAUGUUGAAAUCAUCACCAAUGACCAAGGUAACAGAACCACUCCGUCUUACGUCGCCUUUACCGACUCCGAGCAUCUCAUCGGUGAUGCCGCUAUGAAUCAAGUCGCCUCGAACCCUAUCAACACCGUCUUCGAUGCUAAGAGGUUGAUUGGCCGUAGAUUCAGCGAUCCCUCCGUUCAGUGUGAUAUGAAGUUGUGGCCUUUUAAGAUAAUUUCUGGCCUGGGUGAAAAGCCAAUGAUUGGUGUAAACUACAAUGGUGAAGAUAAGCAAUUUGCUGCAGAAGAGAUCUCUUCCAUGGUACUCUGGAAGAUGCGUGAGAUUGCAGAGGCCUACUUUGGUUCUACCAUUAGGAAUGCCGUUGUUACUGUCCCUGCUUACUUUAAUGAUUCUCAGAUACAAGUUACUAAGGAUGCCGCUCUUUUUGCUGGUCUUAAUGUCAUGGAAAUUAUCGAUGAGCCCACUGCUGCAGCCAUUGCUUAUGGUUUUGACACGACCAGCGUUGGAGAGAAGAAUGUCUUGAUCUUUGACCUUGGUGGUGGUACUUUUGAUGUCUCUUUGCUAACUACUAUUGAAGAGUGUAACUUUCAGGUUAAAGCUACAGCCGGAGACGCCCAUCUUGGAGGUGAGGAUUUUAAUAACAGAAUGGUGAACCACUUUGUUCAAGAGUUCAAGAGAAAGAACAAGAAGGACAUUAGUGGCAACCCAAGAGCUCUUAUGAAGUUGAGGACUGCUUGUGAGAGGGCGAAGAGAGCUCUAUCAUCUACUUCCCAGACCACCAUUGAAAUUGAUUGUCUAUUUGAGGGAAUUGAUUUCUAUACCCCCAUUACUCGUGCCAGAUUUGAAGAGCUCAACUUGGAUCUCUUCAGGGAAUGUAUGGAGCAAGUUGAGAAAUGUUUGAGACGUGCUGGGAUGAACAAAGGAAGUGUCCAUGAUGUUGUCCUUGUAGGAGGUUCUACCAAAAUUCCAAAGGUUCAACAACUAUGGCAGGAUGUCUUUAACGGAAAGGAUCUAUGCAAGAGCAUUAAUCCCGAUGAGGCUGUUGCAUAUGGUGCUGCAGUUUACGCUGCAAUCUUGAGUGGCUGAGUGCAAAAGAAGUGUCUAUGAUGUUGUCCUUGGAGGAGGUUCUUCUAUUGGUAAGAGGGGGGGGGUUUUUUUCAUAUUGAUUGACUGUUUGUUCACUUUGCAUGUUGUUGAUGGCUUCUUAAUUCUUUCACUUUUCCCUUUUUUUUUCUUUCUGAAAUGUGUAUUGUUUUUCCUAUAAUCAUGUUAUCGAUGCAAAAUAUCACCCCAACUUUGCUGAUAUCUAAUCUCUGCCGGGGAACCUGGCUCACCACCUCUCCAAACCACGUUUUUCUCAUCCACAUUGGUCGAAUGGGAAACCUUGUUUAAGAGAUCAGAGUCUAGUUUCACUCAAACCAACAAAAUGCCGACGAACCUGGCUCGCCACCCCUCCCAACCACAUUUUUUUCAUACACAUUGGUUGAACAUGAGACCUUGUUUAAGAGAUCAGAGUUUUUAGGAUGUGAUAGGUAGGUGCAUGCUUAAUGAUGUUGAUAAAUUUGAAAUGGUUUUGUUGAUAACAUUUUGGUUACAACUUACAAGGAAUCGACGAUUCAUUUAUUUUAAUGGAUUUGAGAUGAAUGAAACUUUUUUCAAUAUUUUUUGAAAUUAAAUUAAAUGUCUUUCUGGAUGGACACUUAAAAUUUGAUUCUUAAGAAAAUUUAAUCUGUCCCCUGUUUUCACUUGUGUGGUGCUACAAAUUGUUCAUGAAUCUAUUUAUAUGACAUCAAGAAAAUUUGAGUUUUAUUGUAUCAUAUUGUAAUAAUAAUAAUUCACUUUCAUCAUCAAUGUUCACCCUUACAGUGCUGCUUUAUAAUGUAUGCUUAUAAAUGAUUUCAAUUCUCAUAUUAUGUCGCUUAAGGUUAGCACGUGAAUUCAGAAAUAUGAUUAAUAUCAUAGCCAUAGGUUUUGUUAAGAGUCCCACAUCGGAUAGGUGAUGGCCUGACAAUGUGUUUAUAAGUGGGGGCAAUCCUCACCUCACAAGCCGGUUUUGUCGGGUUGUGUUCGGCCCAACCACAAUUUCUAAGAUGGUAUCAAAGUCUCUCCAAGAUCCAUUUGGCCACCUGCUAUCAGGUUUCCCCUAUCCGGCCAUCCACCAUUUAUGUCCACGAACCAAGGUUUAUAAGUGGGGGCAAUCCUGACCUCACAAACCGGUUUUGUGGGGUUGUGUUAGGCCCAACCACGAUUUCUAAGAGGUUUCAUAAAACAUUAAUAAAGAUUAAGGGUAUGGUACUAAAAAGUAACGAAUACUUCAUUGUUUUUGCAGAACGGCAUAUAAAUUUAGAGAUGCCUCUUUUAGAUAAUUUCUGGACCGGCUGAAAAGCCAAUGAUUGGUGUUAACUACAAGGGUAAUGAUAAGCAAUUAACCGCAGAAGAGAUAUAUUCCAUGGUAGUGGUACUCAUGAAGAUGCGUAAGAUUGUUGAGGCUUACCUUGGCUCUGCCAUGAAGAUGCAUAAGUUGUAAUUUGUUUUGCUUCUUUCCAUUUUGAGCACUCCUCCAGCAAUCUGUUCACAUAGAGAUGUUGGGAGAAGGAGAAAUGUUUGUUGGUGAUUUCCAAAAUAAUGGAAUCACUUUAGAACCAAAAGUUGUAACUCUUCAUGGGAACUAUUCAUAUACAUUGGAACAUUAUUAUUUAUUAUUAAUAAUGAACCAUGACAUUGAUUCAAGUAUAUAUGGUAAUGAUAAGCAAUUUACCGCAGAAGAGAUAUAUUCCAUGGUAGUGGUACUCAUGAAGAUGCGUAAGAUUGCUGAGGCUUACCUUGGCUCUGCCAUGAAGAUGCAUAAGUUGUAAUUUGUUUUGCUUCUUUCCAUUUUGAGCACUCCUCCAGCAAUCUGUUCACAUAGAGAUGUUGGGAGAAGGAGAAAUGUUGUUGGUGAUUUCCAAAAUAAUAGAAUCACUUUAGAACCAAAAGUUGUAACUCUUCAUGGGAACCAUUCAUAUACAUUGGAACAUUAUUAUUUAUUAUUAAUAAUGAACCAUGACAUUGAUUGAAGUAUAUAUGGUUAUAACCUUUGGCAAAAGGGUGCUUAAUGAAUCAUGGCAUUGAUUCAAGUUAAAGAGGUGCUUUCUCUCAUGUGAAGAGUCAUAUAAUGCACUAUAAAUGCUUGACAUUUGGGCAUUAGUUGAAGAUACAAAAACCACACAACUACACACAAUUUGGACAGAAUUUUGUUACAUUAACAACAUAAUUCUUCACCAUUCUAUUAUUCUAAAUCAUCCAUCAAUUCUCUAAUGCAUGAGUGAAUUGCUGGAACCAUAAAUCUGUAAAAUACUGUUAGGAGAUACGCUUGGUGUGGUUGUGCAAUACACGUCAAGGAACUCAUAGUAUCCUGAAGGGGAUUCGCCGGUCAUUCCUAUUGCAUCCAAUAUACAUUUAUUGGUGGGGGCGAAUCGAACCUAAAGGUUAAUGUGGCAACCCCAUACGCUUUGAGUUUUACAUGCAUGAUCAUUAAACAUUUCAGGUUUCAAGUGCAGCAGCCUCUUCCCAACAAACAAGAUAUAUAACAAAUGUUUCUGUUAAACAACAAAAAGAUUGUUUAUUUAUUUAUCUUCUAGUAAUUUGUAUCAAUCAAUGGCACAAGUACAUUACUCAAAUAAGUGGCUUGCCUUCCUGGUUUUGCAGGAAAUACAUAUUGAUCAAAAUAAGUCAAAAAGAUUUCAAACUUAAUUUUCAUUGAUCUAAUAUGCAUUUGGUAGUGAGCUAAUCGGGACAUUGCAAUGAACAGAGCCUAUUUGAAAUGCUUCAUUCCUAGUGACUCGUUCUUAUAGGCAGGUCAAUCCAUUUCAACGAUAGCAACAUGAGUAAUGAUUUUAAGCAGUAGGAGGUUGUCCAACAUUCACUCAAUGCAUUUGACUGAUAGCCCAACAACAUGGCGACCCUCCAACAAGAAGAUCGGAUAUAGCCGGUCGAUCAGCAUCCCGACUUCUGGCAACCCUUUGAUAUAUAUAUAUAUAUAUAUAUAUAUAUAUAUAUAUAUAUAUAUAUAUAGGCCUGCUACAUGCAAACCAACCAAUGGGUUGGCUACUAGCAACUAUCUAACCAACUACCGACAGGCCUGUGGCCUAGAACUUAACAGAUUUGGUGUCAAACAGACAAAUACAUCAUGGCCUGACUGCCAAGGGUGAUGUCGUCGACAAAAUGGGUCCUGAAAGUCAAGGGCCGGCUGAGAAUGGUGCAAGUCCCUGCAGCCUGAAUCAUCGUUAAGUGUUCUCAACAAUCACACUGAGAAAUCCACUUCUUCAUGUAACUACAUAUUUUCUCCAGGAAGGAUAUCAGAUCAAAUACUUGUGAGAGGUUCUAACAGAAUUCCAAAGUUUCAACAACUAUUACAGGAUUUCUUUAACAGAAAGGAGCUAUGCAAUAGCAUUAAUUCCGACGAGGUUGUUGCAUAUGGCACUGCUGUUCAGGCUACAAUCUCGAGUGGUGAGGGCAAUAGAAGGUUCAGGAUCAUCUCCUUUCCUUUUGGAUGUCACCUCGCCAUCUCUUGGUCUGGAGACUGCUGGUGGUGUGAUGAUUGUUCUAAUCCCAAGGGAUACCACCAUUCCAACAAAGAAGGAACAAAUUCGCUCAACCUAUAUUGAUAACCAGCCUGGUGUGUUUAUCCAAGUCUUUGAAGGAGAGAUGAAGAGCAUAAGAAGGAGGUUGAGGCCAAGAAUGCAUUGGUGACUAUAGCUACACCAGCUCAACCCAUAUUUUAAAAAAAUUAAAAAUUAUUGUUUUGCCAACAAGUACCAAGUCAAUGCCUCACAAGCUACCAACAUCACACACAAUAUACAAACAAACAAACACUCAGACUCAGAGAAAUCAAUUUUCCUCAAUUCUCAUAUCAUGAAACAUCCAUCAUUGUCUGUCUCUUGUAGCUUCACCUAUGAUUGUACUUGUGAUGUUUUCCUUAGUUUCAGAGGCAUAGAUAUCCGCAACAGUUUCACCGGUAACCUCUACAGGUCUCUUGAUCAAAAGGGUAUUCACACUUUCAUUGAUGUAGAAGAAAUUCAACAAUCGAGGAUCUACAUUGUUGUUUCUGUUGAGAUAUGCGUAAUAAUAGUAUCAUUGACUGAUAUAUUAUCUCCUUAUUUAUAUUAUCUUUAUUUCCUUGUAAAUAUCUCUUAUAUAAUUAGGACAGAUUUACUCCCUAUGAUCAUGGGAUUUACUUUGUACAUAUUCUUAUUAUAAAUACAAAAGGCUGAGAGCUAAUCUCUCAAGUUAUUCAGCACCAGAAAACCUUGUUCUCAACUUGGCAUCAGAGCUCACGAUCAGUGGGCCUGAGAGCAAAAGUCUAAAAUCUCAAAACCCUAGCCGUCAAGUUACAAACAUAGUUGUCCCGUCGGUUGAUCUAUACCGCCGGCCCUAGGUAUCACCACCGCCUCUGAUAUUAAAUCCUUCUUUGGCUCAGUUUGGUCGGUAGGUUCCACUUUUCCGCUGUGUUUUGGUGAUCUGUGAACAGUUUUUUGCACUGUUCCGAAUCUGUCCUUGGUCCCACUUACACCCAAGUGCUGUCAAAGAUGACUUCAACACCAGAUAAGGCUGGAUCCUUUGUUAAGAGUCUUGUGUCCUAUGUUUUCUCCGACAAUCCCUCUAUAACGUCUGAGAAACUAAAUGGUGAUAAUUAUCUCAAUUGGUCAGCUACUGUUAACAUGUGGUUUCUUGGACAGAAGCUCGCAAAUCACCUCACUAAGCAGUCCUCUGAAAUUGAAAAAGAUCUGCGUGAUGAAUGGGAGCAAGCUGAUUGUCAAUUAGUCUCUCUUUUGUGGCAAACCAUUGAGCCCUCCUUGCUGGUCCAUUAUCGCUCGUACACCACUUGUUAUGAUAUUUGGCAGAAAGCUAAGAAUGUCUAUUCUAAUGAUAUCCAACGUCUUUAUGGUGUGAUUCAUAAUCUAGCCACCCUGCAGAUGACAGAAGAUGACAUCAAAACUUAUGCUAAUAAAGCUCAGUCAGCCGUAACUGAGUUCAAGCUCCUUGUGACCGACAACGACCCAAAGAAGAUGCUUGAGAAAUUGGAUAAUGUUUGCAUGGUUUAUGUCCUUCAUGGUCUUCAUGAAAAGUAUGAGUCAGUUAGGAGCAACAUUCUUUCUGCAUCAGAUAUUCCCUCGGCAGAGGAUCUCAUCAGGCGCCUCACACGCCUUCCUGGACCGAAAGGAUCAGGAGGGAACGGGUCUCAAACUGACUUGGAAUCUUCUGCUUUUGUUUCAAAUUUUGCAGGUCGUGGAGGACGCGGCCGUGGUCGUAGGGGAGGCCGAGGAGGUCGUGGUGGUGGCCGUCCUCAAUGUACUUAUUGUAAACGCUUUGGUCAUUAUGAAGAUCAGUGUUACUCCAUUAUUGGCUUCCCAGAAAAAUCGGUGAAUGUGGCUCAGUCUAUUGAUAAUGGAAACUCCAAAAACAAUGUCAUAUCUGAUAAGGAGUACAAGUCAUACCUGCAGUUUAAGGCUUCACAAGCCUCAUCAUCGGCAACGGUUGCUCACACUGGUAAUUCUGCAGUCUGUCUCUCCCAAUCAUCAUCUGUUGGCCCUUGGAUUUUGGACUCUAUAGCUUCUGAUCAUGUGGCUGGUAAUCCAUCUCUUUUAUCAAAAAUAACCCAACCUAAAAUCCCACAUCAUAUCACUGUUGCAGACGGCUCUAAAGCUAAAGCAAGUGGUGUCGGUCAAGCCACUCCUCUCCCAUCUUUAAAUAUUGACAAUGUUCUUUUUGUUUCCAACUGUCCAUUCAAUUUAAUUUAUGUUAGCCGUUUGACCAAGAGUCUUAAUUGCUCUAUAACUUUCAUUUCUGAUUCUUUUGUUAUACAGGAUCGGAGUACGAAGCAGAUGAUUGGUACAGGCUAUGAGUCACAUGGACUUUACUACCUUCGGUCUUCAUCUACAAUUGCAUCCUCUUCUACUACAGAGUCUCCAAGUCUUCUUCAUCGUCGUUUAGGUCAUCCAAGUCUCAAAAAGCUCAGAGUUAUGGUUCCUAAUUUGUCUCAGUUGCAAUCAUUGGAUUGUGAAUCCUGUUAGCUUGGGAAACAUGUCCGGUCUUCCUUCCCUAGCAGUACUCAGUCACACGCCCACUCUCCUUUUCAUGUCGUUCAUUCUGAUGUAUGUGGACCAAGUCGAGUCACUUCACCUGUAGGACAUAGAUAUUUUGUUACUUUUAUUGAUGAGUUUUCUAGAUGUACAUGGAUCUUCCUACUUAAGGAUAGAUCAGAACUAUUAAGUGUAUUUCAAAAUUUCUUUAAGGAAAUUCAAAAUCAGUUUGGUUGUUCUAUUCGCAUUUUGCGUAGUGAUAAUGCAAAAGAGUAUUUUUCAACAUCUUUUAAUUCUUUUAUGUCUGAAAACGGAGUGAUACAUCAGUCAUCUUGUCCCCAUACCCCACAACAAAAUGGCAUUGCUGAACGUAAACACCGUCAUAUAAUUGAAACAGCACGUACUUUGCUUAUUCAUGCCAAUGUUCCUUUGAAAUUUUGGGGUGAUGCUGUCCUCACUGCAGGAUACUUGAUUGAUAGAAUGGAUUAAUAGAAUGCCAUCAUCUGCAAUCCAAAACAAGGUUCCCCAUUCCAUAUUGUUCCCUGAUGAACCUUUGUUUCGUAUUGCUCCUCGGAUUUUUGGAUCCACUUGCUUUGUUCAUGAUCUUACUCCAGGUUUAGAUAAAUUGUGUGCUCGUGCAAUUAAAUGUGUCUUUCUAGGCUAUUCAAGAGUUCAAAAAGGAUAUCGGUGCUAUUGUCCCUCCACACAUCGCUUCUACAUGUCUGCUGAUGUCACAUUCUUUGAGGAUACACCUUUUUUUGCGUCUUCCAUUGAGUCUGAGUCUAUCUCUCAAGUAUUACCAAUUCCUUUCCUUGUCCCGGUAAUUCCACCCACACCUGUCCCUGUCAUUGAUCAGUCAACUCCAUCCUCUUCUACAGAACCCCCUAGUCCUCCUCCACCUCCACCUCCUCCACUGCAAAUUUAUCAGCGUCGUCCACGUCUCCCUCCUGCCAAUCCACAAUCUACAGAAAGUCCAAGUGACUCAUCUCCUGCCCCAAUCUCCUCUUCUACUUCAGAUCCGCCGACAUUGUCAGAUGACCUUCCUGUUACUUUACGUAAAGGUACACGUUCCACCCGUAAUCCUCAUCCCAUUUAUAAUUUCCUAAGUCAUCAUCGUUUAUCACCUACACACUGCACUUUUAUAUCUUCUCUUUCUUCUGUCACUAUUCCUAAGUCUCCACGGGAAGCUCUUUCACAUCCCAGUUGGCGACAGGCUAUGAUUGAUGAGAUGACAGCCUUGGAAUCUAAUCAGACAUGAACUCUUGUGCCUCCUCCUUCUGGAAAAUCUAUUGUUGGGUGUCGUUGGGUUUAUACUGUUAAAGUUGGUCCAGAUGGGAAGAUUGACUGAUUGAAAGCUCGCUUGGUGGCUAAAGGAUACACUCAGGUGUUUGGCCUAGAUUAUAGCGAUACAUUCUCUCCUGUGGCUAAAAUGGCUUCUGUUCGCCUCUUUCUUUCUAUGGCUGCCAUGCGACAUUGGCCAUUAUAUCAGUUGGAUAUCAAAAAUGCAUUUCUUCAUGGAGAUUUAGAGGAAGAAGUAUAUCUGGAGCAACCUCCUGGUUUUGUUGCUCAGGGGGAGUGUCGUGGGUAUGUUUGUCGUCUUCAUAAGGCCUUGUAUGGUCUCAAACAAUCCCGUCGAGCAUGGUUUGGGAGAUUCAGUAAUGUUGUUCAACAAUAUGGCAUGAAGACGUGUAUGUUGAUGAUAUUGUUGUUACAGGUGAUGAUCAUGAUGGGAUUGCAGGACUUAAACAACAUCUAGUCCAACACUUUCAGGUUAAAGAUCUAGGUCGGUUGCGUUAUUUUCUCGGUAUUGAGGUGGCUCAAUCCAAGGCAGGAGUUUCUAUUUCCCAGAGAAAGUAUGCUCUAGAUAUCUUGGAGGUUGAUUGCAAGCCGAUUGAUACUCCUAUGGACCCAAAUGUCAAGCUGUUACCUGAUCAAGGGGAGACCUUUUCAGAUCCAGGAAGGUACCGGAGGUUAGUUGGGAAGCUGAAUUAUUUGACCAUGACAAGACCUGAUAUUUCAUAUGCAGUCAGUGUUGUUAGUCAAUUCUUGAAUUCCCCUUGUGAUAUUCAUUGGGAUGCUGUGGUUAGAAUUCUAAGAUAUAUCAAGAGAGCCCCUGGAAAAGGUCUUGUUUAUGCAGACAGAGGUCAUUCAGAUAUUGUUGCGUAUACAGACGCAGAUUGGGCUGGAAGUCCGUCUGACAGAAGGUCCACAUCUGGAUAUUGUGUUCUCAUUGGAGGCAAUUUGAUUUCAUGGAAAAGUAAGAAGCAAAAUGUCGUUGCUAGAUCAAGUGCAGAGGCAGAAUAUAGAGCUAUGGCACUUACUACAUGUGAGCUCAUAUGGCUCAAGCAUCUUCUCCAAGAGCUCCACUUCAGUAAAAUAGGCACUAGGAGUAUCAUUUGCGACAAUCAAGCAGCCCUACACAUUGCCUCUAAUCCAGUCUUUCAUGAGCGAACUAAGCAUAUUGAGAUCGAUUGUCAUUUUAUUCGUGAGAAAAUUAUGUCUGGUGAAAUUGCUACUUCUUUUGUUGGUUCUAAUGAUCAACUAGCCGAUAUCUUCACGAAGUCUCUUCGAGGACCAAGGAUCACUUACAUAUGUGACAAGCUUGAUGCAUAUGAUUUGUAUGCUCCAGCUUGAGGGGGAGUGUUGAGAUAUGCGUAAUAAUAGUAUCAUUGACUGAUAUAUUAUCUCCUUAUUUAUAUUAUCUUUAUUUCCUUGUAAAUAUCUCUUAUAUAAUUAGGACAGAUUUACUCCCUAUGAUCAUGAGAUUUACUUUGUACAUAUUCUUAUUAUAAAUACAAAAGACUGAGAGCUAAUCUCUCAAGUUAUUCAGCACCAGAAAACCUUGUUCUCAACUUUAUGGUAUCAGAGCUUGUCGAAUUCAAGGGCCACCUAAACCUAUUCACGCACCAAGCCCAAAGAGUGCUGGGCGUGAGGGGGGUGUAUUGGGAAAAACCCAAGUCCCACAUCGGAUAGAUAAGACUCUUGAGAAGAGUUUAUAAAGAGAAGGCAAUCCUCACCUUACAAGCCGGUUUUGUAAGGAUGAGUUAGGCCCCAAAUUUUAAUAGUUUCCUCAACUUUUUAUUAUUUUUAUGUUUUGUAGGUGUUUGAGUCGUUAAGCUUUCUGGAUUUUGAAGGUUGCAAGGUGUUAACUGAGCUACGUAGCUUAUGUGCACUAGUAUUUAGUCACGAUUCAUAAGUCGAUUGGUUUUCUCAAUAAACUCAUGCUAUUGAGUACUCAAAGAUGCAACCAGCUAAAAUUUUGGUGCCUUACAUCAAUCUGGCAUCUCUAGAGACUCUGGAUAUGAGGGGUUGCUCGUGUCUCAAGAGCUUCCCUGAAGUAUUGGGAGUAAUGGAAAAUACAAGAUAUGUUUAUUUAGACCAAACUUCCAUAGACAAGUUGCCAUUUUCAAUUGGAAAUCUUGUUAGCCUCCAAGACUGUUCUUGAGGGAGUGCAAGAGUCUAACUCAGCUAGUUCUCUUAAUAUCUAUGCCAACAAUGACAUAGAAGUAUGUAAGCCUUCGUUUGUCAGUAAUGAUUUCGGAUUCGUGUUUAAAGGAAUUUUUGAAGGGAGAGUAAAUUGAUACCAGCAAGGAAUCAUCAUUAUGUUUUUGGUUUCGAAAGAAAUUCCCUCAGAUAGCUCUAUGUUGUGCUGGAGAACCUCCUAUGCAUAAAGACAAUAUGUUGUUGGAUUUCAAGUUGAGUGUACUCAUCAAUGGCACUAAGCAAUUCACUUCUUCAUGUAACUACAUAUUUUCUGCAGGAAGGAUAUCAGACCAAAUACUUAUGUGUGAUUUAGUGUGCAAAGUGGAAAAAUCAUUUUUAGAGCAUGAAUGGAAUAAAGUAGAGAUUUUGUAUGAGUUGAAAUACCCUGUGCCAUGUGGCCCUGAAAGAAUAAGGAUCAACCAUGACAGGACCAGAACAAGAAAUCCAUGUUGGUCUCUCAUUUAUGUCAGUGGAGAUAUCAAAGAGGAUGUCAAAUUUCUGUCUGAGUUUAUUGAAUGCAAGGAGGCUGAGAGAAGAAAGGGAACACUAUUGGGUUUUCACUAUAUGCUCAAGCGUUAUGGAUUCCAAUUGGACUGGGUUGUGAUAGAAAAGAUCAAACGUGGUCUAAUUUUAAUUUUCUUAAAAUACUAAGUUACUUUGAAAUAGUUGUUUUUAUCCCCAUCUUUGUCUGAAAACCGAUCCCCCAUUCUAGAGGAGCAAAAAAACCGUUUUCCAGGUUCACUCAUUCAGAAGUGGAAAAAAUAGUGUUUCUUAUCCGUCCAGAACAGUACUUCCAGAUGGAAUCGGUUUUCAAACAAAGGUGAGGGGAAAUAAAAACAGCUCACUUACUUUUAU
rnacentral:lncRNA from 1 species